rnacentral:lncRNA from 1 species
CCUCAGGUAGAAACAGAGGUCAAAUGAACCGACCGAUUCAUCCGGCCAUGACUUUCCUCAAACAAAAUAUAUUAGAUUUCCAAUUACCACCAAGAAAAAUGAAUCUACCUAAAUACAGGAUCUCAUGUACACAUAAAUGUGCAUAUAACGUACUCCCUCUUUUCCGGUUUAUAUGGCUCAAUUCAAAAAUCUCACCAACCAAGAUAGAUGGUGAGUGGUGGAAUACUUUUUGUAAUUUGCAAAAGCACUCAAUUAAUGCUCUUGUUUUUCUCAAAAAAUUAUGUUUACCAAUGCAUUAAUUGCAAUGCAUGCAUGCAUAAAGUACAUGCAUUGAUCAAUUUUCUCUUAAUACUUGCAUGUAAUGAUUUAAUGCACCUUGGAAUCUGAAUAUGUGAUAGGGAACAACGAAACUGAGCCUUAUAAAAUGAAAAAACUAAAAUUUUAAGAUAAGCCUUAUAAACCGGAAAGGAGGGAGUAUGUCCAAUUAAGCUGGGACUACUGAAAGAUAGGUUUACCAGUUGGUGAGACAUGCAUAUGAAUUUAAUUUUUUAGUAUUAAUCUUAUGUUCCUUAGGGCAUCUCCAACAGGUUGUAUGUUAGUCUUGUUGAUUGAAUAUGACAUGUCAUCAACCAACAAGUUAUCAUACAACUAAUCCAAUAGGUUGUAUGUAAGCUAUCCAAUAGAUGGUGAGAAAAUAAAUGUGAUUGCUCUCUAUUUUACUUUGGAGCUUGUGCAAAGGUUGUUGGUUAAUCUACAUACAACUUUGCUCUCUCUCCACAUUUAUUACAUGCCACAUCAUCACUAUGUCCUAGGUGGAAAAUUAACCAACACCUAUCUUACGACUGUUGGAGAUGCCCUUAGUUGCUAGCUUGUGUACCUGCACGGGUUGACGACUAGUCUUUAUAUAAUGCAUGAUAGUCCACGUAUAUUUAUGACACAUCAUUUAACUUUUUAGUAUUUAUUUUAUGUUUCUUAGUUGUUAGCCCGUGCACCUGCACAGGUUAACGACUAGUCUUUAUAUAAUGUAUGGUAGUCCAUGUGUUGAGUAUCAUGAUUGUAUUAGGAAAUAUAGGUUAGACUAGGAAAUAUUCGGGCUUGCCUUGUAUAUAUGCCCACGAGGCUCAAGCAAUACAACAACUAUUCCAUCAAAUCUCUCUCUCUCUCUCUUCUAACAUGUUAUCAGUUUCCGGUUUCUAAACCCAAGCCGCCGCCGCUUCCACACCCGCGCGCCGUCCCUGGGGCGGUCGGCCUCCAUGACCUCCACCGGGGGCCGCGCUGCCCGUACCUAGGGUUCGUCUGCCGGUCGUGUUGACCGGCUGCCAUAGAGAGUCUUUUUCCCGCGCCCUUGCUCUGGGGUUUUCUCUCUCCCGCCGGUCAUCUUGAUCGGUGGUUUCUUUUUUGAUUUUCCGAUCUAAUCUUGAUCGGUUUGCGUCGCCCACCGCCGUCGUCGACCCCGUGCGCCUCUACUCCAACAUUGGCGCGAUCGGACGGCUUCUUCACUGACCCGGCGGCCCCGCAUGUCGUCCACGCGUCUGCCCGCCGGUCGCCCCGACCCACCGGCCUCGCGCGUCGUCCGCGCGUCUGCCUGUCGGUCUCCCUGACACGUCAACCUCGCGUCAUGCGGUGGCCCUUCACCGCCACCGUUGGCGCACCGGCCUGCCCGUCGAUCUCUGUCGGCCGUCACCGCCCUGCUCCGACCGGGACUCCUGCAUCACCCCGACCGGGCAGCCUCACACCAUGCGGCGGCCAAUCAUAGCCGCCCUGCCGCCCGCUGUCGCCGGCUUCAUCUCGGACUCCGCCGCCACCCCGUCUCCACCGAGCGGCGUCUCUGAUCUCGCGCGCGAUAGGAUUGAUCACCCGCCCGCCGCCGCGAUCCGCCUCAUCUAACCAUCGGUUGCGCACGCCUCCGCAGGUCACGUGACGAUCGUCCCCGAGUUCAGCGCGUCCCUCCACCAAUCGAGCAACGGGCUGCCGCUGUGUCGCCCCGUCGGGCCGCAGCACUGCCGCCCCGUGAUUCUUCUUCUGGCUGCACCGACCCACGUCACCGCUGCGUCGCCUCUUCAGACCGUAGUGUCGCGGCCCGUGGUCCACGGCCGCCCCGAGGCCGUCCACUCUUGGUCGUCCCCGUGGUUGCACCGGCCCGCACUCCUCCGCCGCACCACCCCUUCGGGCUGUCGUGCCGCGGCCCACGGUCUCCGCCGCCGCCCCUUGGUCUUCCCGCCAUCGCCCCGACCUGCCCGCCGCCGCUGCGUCGCCCCUUCGGGCCGUAGCGCCGCGGCCGGCGGUCCUCUCCGUCGUCACCGCGCGUCGACCUCCCGUGGUAUGCGCCGCACCGUCUCCCUUGGCACGGGAACGCCACCGUCCGCGCCGGUCUUUGUCACGUUGUCAGGGUUUUCCGCCUACUUCGAGCACCGCCGCUGCGCUCCUAAUCAAGCCGCUGCCACCGCUUUUCUUUGGUUGCCGCCGCCGCUACCCCGUAGCCGCCGCAGCCGCCCGUCCACCUCCUUCGUCUUCAUCCAGCACCAGCCCGUCGUCAGCGUCGCCGUCAUUUAUCCCGACCACUUCGUCUACUUCGACCACCGUUGGUGACAUUGGCCCCGCGCCGAUGGACGCCGAAACCGUCGUCGAGUUCUUCUCUGCUGGCCCUCUGACUUCUUCGACAUGGCGUACAGCUCGUGCAGGUCCUAGUCUCCGCAUGCCCGGUGCUGGCACCACCGCCGCGUGCAUUCGUCCACGACGUGUUCCCGGGCUUGGCAAGCCUGGUGCGGCGCUUUGUGAACUUCGUCUUCAUCCAUCUAUGCAAGCCCAGUGCUGGCAACAUCGGUGCGUGUCUUCGUCUACGAUGUGUCCCCGGGCUUGGCAAACCCGGCGUGACGCGUCGUCAACAAUAUCUCCUUUCCGGCACACCACAACUUCGACACCACUGCGUCCAUGCUAACUCGGCGCCCCCUUGCACCCGCGGCUCCACGGCGACUUUCUCGACAUCGGCCACCCCGACUCGACAUCGACCACGGCAUUCUUCGCACAGCUACCUCGACCAUGGCUACCUCGACCAUGUCUAGAAAUUUCUAAAAAUGCUCAUGAAUAUGAAAAUAUAUUCACCAUUAUAUGUUGUGACUUUAUAUGGUAAAUGAAUUAUUAAAAAAUGUGAUAAUUAAAAUCUAUAUGAAUUUGAAAAAAGAACACGAAAUUUAAAAACGUUCAAGAUUUUAGCAAAUAUUCAAAAAUUUAAAAAAUACUAACAAAUAUAAAAAAAAUUGAAUUUAGAAAAUGUUCAGGGAUUUAGGGGAAAAGUUAGAGAAUUAAUAGAAUGUUCUCAAAUUUAAAAACUGUUCUUGAAUAUAUAAACAUAUUUGGGAAUAAAAAAAUUGGAUUAAAAAUCUUCACGAAUUUAGUGGAAUUUGCAAAUGGUUUGUCAGUUUAAAAUAUUUUCAUAAAUAUUUAAAGUGUUUAUGAAUUUAGAAAAUCAUUUAGGAAUUUUCUAAAAAUUUUCACAUAUUUUUAAAAUGUUUGUAAGUUUAUUUUUUGCAGAUUCAAAAUAUAUGAAAGAAUUCUAAAUGUCCACAAAUUUAAAACACAUCAAUAAGUAAAUAAAUAAAAUUAAAAAAACACCAGUAGGAAAGAAACGGUUGGAGACCACACGGAAAGGAAUGGUAAAUAAGCGGUUGGGCCAGUUAAAUGGCCUACUCACUCACUGUUCUGGGGGUGCGCGUUUGGUGAACAUUCCCUUUGUUACACAGGUAACAGGAAUUGAUGAUCACUGCCUCAACAUUAUCAUGUCAACUAGGGGUGAAAUCAAAUUCAAUUUAGACGGAUAAUUCUCCUAAUUUGUAUCCUAUUUCAUAUUUAUUUUUGGUUCCGAAAGCACAUCAGAUGCAGAUUUGAAUACAAAAUUAUGAUGGAUUAGGAGAUGGUAUGAUAAUGAAACAAACUCGAAUAAGGACAGUCAUAUACCAUAUGCAUAUCCGAGCAAUAUUAAAUUAUUUUAACUGAAAUUAUUAUACAUAAAAAAUGAGCAAGUAUUAACACUUAUACACUUUAAGCGUACAUAAAACAUUAGAAAGUCCUACAAAUCACUUAGAAGCAUAUGUCUCGUCUCAUAAGAAAAGAUAGCAUUCACGUAUUGCUAGGUAAUACUUAAAAAUUCACCCAUAAAUCUGAAAUUCAGAUUUAAAAGGUCGGAUUAUCAUAUUAGAAAAAGAGACAAUACUCUGGCACAAGGUAUUAGUAAUACCAUAUUCUAUACGGUAUUCAACUAGAAUGUACUUUAGAGUCGUUCGUCACCUCAUUAUCAAACCAACCCUGAAAAUGAGGUUAUAGGCCAUGUCGAGACAGGUGAACAAUUUGCUAAUUUGUAGUUUCUCAGAGCCAUAUCUCUUGAAUUAUGGAGACAUCGAGAUAAAAUUGAUGGUUGACAGAUUUCCAUAUCAAUGACUGUUGCUCUCCCAAUGUCUCCAAUUCCCAUGUGUUUCUAUUACAUCUCAUAUUGCCACUUAUCUCGUGUGGUACAUGUCAAAUUAAAUGUGUGAAUUCCUGCAAAAUAAAGGGGGGGGGAGGCUCUAAUUCACACAAAGCAAAAGAAUGUAUGGUGGUAACAAGCUGUGUUAAAUUGAUUGUUAUCUAAUCAAGCCACUAUGAUGAAAUGAGCUAAUAAAAUGCCAUUUAUCGAAGAAAUGAAGCAAAUGAACACUAUAUUUAGACUGAAAACUUUACUCUCUCAAAUAUAGGAGGGUGGAGAAUUUAGUUUAUUCAUGUGGCAAUUGUCCUUUGGUAGAUCUAUAGGCAACCUCACUUGAUGUGUUUGUAAUUGAUAUGCUAUACAUCAGUGUAUUCACUCUUGGUGGUGACAUUUUGAUCCUAAAGAUCCGACAAAGAAACAGGUAUCACAUAAACUUAGAUUACUCCUGUAUCACAUACGUAUCAAUCUUAUGACGAAGAAACACACUCAUGAUACCAUAGUCACAUGGAGAAUCUUAAACAAACUGGCACACCGUUACUUUAGCUACUCCGUCAGGCUAUGGAUCGAUAAGCUAAAAUAAAGUUUGAUCAUUGGCCUUUCUACCUUGGAAGACGAGUGGAGAGUGUUCAACACGAGGAAUAAUUGUGUCACCGAAAUUAACAACAUUGAUGUUUGGGUCAUCUUCAUACGAUAUCAUAUGCAACCUCGAGAGCCAAAAUAGUGUGCUGCUGAAGUUUGCUCCGAGAUAUGUUUUACCAUUUUUUCAGACCAAUUUUCUUCCCCAGCGUGAAUUUUGAUGGAAACUUUCAUGAAGGAACAAUUGUUUACCGCGUCGACCUAAACAAUUCCUCUUUUCAACUCAUCGUGAUCUGAGGUCAUAUGCGACUUGCACGAGGCAUUAAAGAGAGCUAGUUUAUAUAUUAUGAGUCCAGAAGUUUCAGGCAAAACUUCAAGGGAGGUUUUGGGCUUAACAGAAAGAUUGUAUGCGAUGCGCCUCAAAAACAGGAGUCUCAACAUUAUUUGCAAAUUUGUGGGCCUGAAUUCAACCUCAAGACGACCUUGGAUGAAAAAGGGUUCAACAUAUGGAUAAUUAACCUCGAUGAGUCGAGCAACUUUUCUUUUGAGACCAUAGCAAUCAGAGAUUAUAUAUGACCUGCAAGAUCAGUGCAAGAGGGCUACUUUACAUCUUCUUAGCCCUGAAGUUGCGGUCCAGACCGGAAGAUCCGGCCCUCCUAGUCCGAGUUAGGUUAACUUUUUUUAAGGGAUUUGAGUCAUUUUCUUGUACGAGAAGUCCAGCUACCUCAAAUAUAUGUAAGGGAGGGGUGACGGCUGAUUGAACAACACACAAUCAAACAAUCAAUCUACCACUUUUUACCUUUACCUUUAUCUCCCUCCCUUGUUCUUCUUCUUUCCCAUUCUUCGUUACUCUUCUAGUUGCAGGGUAGCGAUCCAUGAGGCCCUAGGGGCGACCAGGUCGACCUAUGACAGCCCAUAGCCGCCGCGCGCACUGACGGGGUCCCUCCCGGGAGUGUGGGGUUUCAUAUCUACAAAAGUGUUCGCCGGAUUGCUUGCACAACGCACUUUCGGCUGGGUCUCCUCCCAUGUGAGCUGCGGUGCAUCACCCCUGGUGUCGAGGGUACACGGAGAUGUACUCGUCUGUGAACACAAGCAUUGUUUUGAAUAUUUUCGUGUUUCUAGUUAUCUAACUCUUGUAUUAAGUGGGCUAAACACAUAAUAUUUUUGUUGUUGCAUGUAGAGAAGUAUAUGCCAGGCAAUGUAACACACUUAUAAAUCACAUUCUCUUACUAUUGUUUGAAAUAGAAUUUAUGUUAGAAUUGUAGUGCAUCGUUCUUCAGUAAUAUAUGGUAAAAUAAAAUCUGCCGACACUGUUUGAGAAGACCAAUGAGGCUUCCAAUUCAUAGUUCAUUACUGCCAACUAGGCUAUCAUGUUCCAAUGAAUUUUCGUGAAGUGUGAGAAUAUCAUGAUAAUAGAAAUCAAGUUGCAGGAUAAUGUAACUACUUGAGCCUCGAACUUCUAUCACCCCAAGGUGAACUCUUCGCAGAUGGAUUUGGCUCCUCCUUGUCACCGUACAUGUAGCUGCUUCUGUUCACAAUCCCAGCAUGUCUUCUUCAAUAUCCCUGCAUACGUACAGAUUGUUCUAGAGCCAUCGCUCAGAAUGGUGCCACCAUCAACAUGCAUGCUACCUCAUUCGCUUUUGGUCUAGAAUUUCGAUUCAUUCGACCUCCCCUGGGUUUAAAUUGUUUCUCCGUUUAUGAUGCUCUCAUAGGCAUGUGGGACACCAAGUUCUCUUUUUCCAUGACAGUUUGUGUAUGUAGAUAAUAAAUGACAUACCUACGUUUGGAACUGAAGUCAAUUAAUUUUUCUGCCGAUUAUCUGUUAGUGAAAUUCAGGGGACCAUUUUGUGCUUGUAAAUUUCGAGCUUGUGGCUUGUUUGAUUUCCUCUUUUUGGUUACAAUUUCAGGGAAACUAUGGCUAGGAACUCUUUGUUUUUAACAAAACACUAUUUAUGCACAAUUCACAUUCUUACGCUACAAUUCCUACUACAUGGCCAUACGAUUCUUUCAUAUUGCAAUCUGUACAUUGCUAUGACAUAUAUGCACCACUUGGUUUGGAUUCUUCAUGGCGAUGUUGGUAAAAUUAUGUGGACAAUGCAAUACAUGUACACAUGUAGCUGAUGGAUGUAUAUGUGCAGCCGUCUAAAUAUGGCCGGCGUCCAAAUCGUAAUACAUGGGUGUUGCACAAUUUUUUUGUUGACGGCUGAUAUUUUUCUUUUGACAUGGACAGUUGAUUCUUUUAGCUAGAUGUGACAAAAAUUAUUUUGUGCCAUAUGUUUUAUGUAAUAGCAAUCGUUGGUAAUUUAGAGAGGACGGUAUUGGUAUGUAUUUUUUCGGCUAUAAAGUGCAUCUAGCGGUUGUUGUUUUUUGAAGUAUAAAAUAAGGGAUAGAUGUUUCAGUAUAUAACAUAUAUUGUGCUCAUAAUUGGUACUUCCAGAAAAGCCAUGACCAAUAUUAAGGCGCUUACAAAGGUGCGAGCCCUGAACAAAGUGGUGGAGCACAUUUUUAUGUCAACACCAUGAGUGUGGUCUGUUGAAGUAGACACAUGGCUUCAUCAAACUAGUGGCAAUAUUCUACACGAGAGAGACUCGGCGAGAACUGCUGACAAUGUCUUUUAGUGCACUACAGAGUGUUACGUCUCCUCAUGAACUGACUAAUCUUGGAAGUGAAGUUUCCAACCCUAGCAAUCUUGAAGAGAUAUUUGUAUGCGUCUACUAGUAGGAGGCAUGCCUAUUUGAUUAUGUAGAGACAUACCGACACUUGGGUGUUGGAUUCACCGAGCAAUGGUUGCUUCUCUCCCGAUGUCUCCAAGUCCCUCGUGUACUCAAUACAUCUCAGGUCGCAACCUUUUCGAUGUGUUACCAUGACAAAUAGGGGGAAAAUUGGAACGAUCAGAGGAGAAUAACAAUGUGAUUUCUUAUGGGGUGGGAGCAGUCAGAUUCUUGCUCUUAUUCAAGAUUUUUGAUUUUUGUGUCAUAUAAUAGUUGGUGCUAAUUUUUUCCGCCAAGCGAAAAAGAGUGCAAUGUUGCAAUUUAUAGGGCAAGACCAGGAAAUGAGAUAAUAAGCAGAGAACAUAUACUUCUAAUAUAUCACAUGCCUAGAAGACUGCCAUUUCACAUGAAUGCAUGAUCUACCUUUAGUUACUCGUACAUAAGAAUUACUUUAAAACAUACCUUAUCAGUAAGAGGGGAGCACCAAGUACGUCCAUCAUUAGAAUCAAUCAAUUUUCCUUCUUUGUGCAUAGGAAGUGGAACUAUAGAAGGUCUGUCGAUUUCUCCGGAUUUUCAUAUGCAUCAUGAGUUAUGUGGCUUUUUUUUUCUUGAAAAUUCCCUACCAUACAUUAUUUAAUUGAAAGGUUCGUACAAUUAUGCCUAACAGCAUAUGCCACAAACAGAGGAACACUAUUAAGAAGAACACCAUCCGACCUAUUGCAAAAACUAAAACCUGCAAUCUCGUGCACCACCAUAUUGCUCUGACAAUUGAUCUUAGUGAUCUUGAAAUUAUUGUGAAGCUUAGUGAUACAUAGCGCUUCUUUCUUCAGAUCAACAAGAGGGGAGCUAUCAAAGUUUUCAUUUGCAAGAAAGGGAGCCACGAAAGAACAACAAAUUUAUAAGAUAUUUGACUUCUGAAGGGUGAUAUCGAUGUAAAGUCCGGCGGGGCUCGCUUGAAGCUCCACUUCAUCCACAAUGGUGCACUUCCUGAUACAUUUCCACAAUUGGAUGAUGACUUCCACAACAUGGCCCCUGGCAUUAACCCCCACGGUCCCGACGCCCAUGCUCUCCACAAAACUGGCUUCGACGUUGAUCUUAAUAUACUCCGAAGAGGGAGGCUACCAAGCCACAAACUUCCUCUCAUGUUCAAGAUCAAAUAUCUAGUUUUGUAUUUAUCAUGUUCUAUGGAUAUAUGCUCUAUAAUUUAUUACAGGCGACACAUUUCAUCAGACCCACUUGAAUGACAUAAGUCAUGCCUAGAUCUAGGAUGGACAACCAAAUUACAUGAAUAACACUGAUGCUAGGUAAGCACCUUCUACACAUUAGUGAAGAUUACCAAUAGUCUAUUUAUCAUUAUCCUUUUUACAAUGAAAACAUUCUUGGAAGUAUAAAGUGAAGCAGAGAAAGAUUAGGAAGAAAAACGUCUCAUGAUAAUCCACACAUGGUUUUUUGUUGUUAUGAUUACACAAAGUGCAUACACAUGUGCAUGUGCAUCACCACAAUCAGUACACACAUGCGCACACACACAUGAACACAUACUCUAAGCAUAGUUGAAUUGAUUGAUAUGGGAAUAAAUUCAUGAAUCUCGCUAUAUUCCCAGUGUAUCAAAAAAUGUUCACCGUGUAUUGAAGAGUGUUGCCCAUGUAUAUAAAAAAUGUUAAUAUUGUAUUUAAAAAUGUUAAAUGUGUAUAUAAAAAUGUACUAAAUAUAUACCAAAAAUGUACAAUGUGUAUGGAAAAAAUUAGACAUAAAAAAUAGUUUUCAUAAAAUGUUAACCAUAUUUUUAAAAAGUUGAAAUGUGUAUAUAAAGUAAAUUUCUGAUGUAGACGAAAAAUGUAUAAUGGGUACUGAAAAUAGUUGAUAUGUGCUGAACAAAAAGUAUACCAAUGAAACUCGACAAAGAAACUAGGAAAAAAAUAAAAAAACCAAUUAAAAAAGACAAACGAAAGAAACCCAAGAAACAGAAAGAAAAGCAAAUAAACUAAUGCGAACGUGUAAGUGCCAAGAAAGAAAUAAAGUAAACCAUUGAAAACAAACAAAGCAAAAAGGAAAACCAAAAAAGCAAGGGAAAAAUAAACGAAAAAAAUAGGCAAAAAAUUAAAGCGGAGGAAGAAACAAAAGAAACCAAAAAGAAAAGAAAUACAAAACAAGAUGACCAGAGAAAAGCAGUGCAAAAAGAAAAAGAAACAAAAAAUUAAAGAAAGAAACAAGUGCACAGAAGAAAACUCGGUUAGAAACAAACAAAACCGUAAAGAAACAAAGAAAACUGUUUCCCUCAAAGAAAAAAAGAAACAAAGGAAACUGAAAAGAAAAAGAAAGAAAACAAAAGAAAAAACAUGACUACAUGCAGCGAGCGAUUUCCUCCACGACAUGAAUUCAUGAUUUAUGUAAGCCGUCCAUCUUUCUUCAAAAAGGAAGGUUUGUCUAUUUAACAGGUGCCUAAAACAGUUCCAUCAGUCACGUUCCAUAAGCCGCCCAUGAUCUAUCUCGCGGCAUGUUCAUCUUCUUGGUCCCGUGUCUUCUUCCUAUUCCUUACACGGCGGUUCAUCCUCCUCCCCCGCGGCCUACCCAAACCUAACCGCCUGCCUCUGCCCCGCCCUCUCGUCUACCUGCCCCAACCGCCGUGCUGGCUGCCGCCCCGGCUAUUCCUCUAAGCCCUGCAUCACCUGUGAACAACAUUGGCGAUCCCCUGCAUCCCCCACACGUAAGAUAAAUAUUGGGGAUGUGCCAUACCCCUAAAAUUGAUUGGCGCAACAAAAAAAUUGAGGUACCUGAAAAAUACCAAAACUGAAAAAAAACACAUCCAUGUUUUACAAAUUCCAGUAUUGAUCGCAUUGGCCCAGUACCAAAUUGAAGAAGUUGUACGGUAUUGUUUCAUAGGUUAUGAGUAUGACCUCUCGAAGAAGAGUCAUGGCUUCACCACACCAACCAUGAUGCGCUAUAUGAGUGCUAGACAUGGACAGAAGGGUUGAGCAAUGGCUCUUAAUAUACCACAAACCGGUGUGCAUCCUCAAGAGUUGAUCGACCUUGUCAGUUAAGUAGAUGGACCUAUCAUCUUCCAAGAGAUGAUUGUAAACCUAGUGCUACUAGGAUCCAUGGUUGUUGGAUUAACUAGAGAAAUUGGGAUGAUAUUUUGUUGCCGGAUUCCUUGAGCAAUGGUUGCUUCUCUACCAAUGACUCCAAUUUCCUCAUGUUCUCGAUAAAUUUCACAUUGCCAGCUAUUUGUUAUAAUGACAAGUAGAAACUAUGGUUGUAACAACAUCAAACACGAAUAUCAAUGCAUUUUCUUAUGGGAUGGAAGUAACUAGAUUCUUUGUCUUAUACUACAAGACUUUUGCCUUUCGUGCCAUGGAGUAGUUGGCACUAGUUUUUUCUUCCUUUGAGGAAAAAAGGAGUGGUUGAUGUUAGGUGAUACAAGGAACAUUCUGCCUAGCAAAGUCGGAAUUUAUAUAUCUAGACCAAGAAAGAAGACAAAAUGUAGCAAUCUAUAUAUCUACAAGGACAUGUACUUCUAAUAUAUCACAUGCCUGGAAGAUUGCCAUUGCCCGCGAAGGCAUGAUUCUAUCUUUAGUUGUAAUUAAGUUUCACUUUAAAUACUAUCUUAUCUUUAGGAGCGGAGUAUCAACUAUGUCCCGUCAUGAUACCAUCGAUCAGUUUUCGUUCGUUGUCGGCGUUCUUGAAAGUGCAUCGCAAGUGGAAGAUCCGUUGAUGUCUCCAAUUUUUCAUACACAUGAUCACCAGUCUUGUGUGUGUUUUUCUAGAUCAAAUUUCUAGUUUUAUUCUUCUCAUGCUCCAGUAAAAUGUUCACUACAUUUAAUUACAUGUGAAAUAUUUUUGUUUUGAACGAUUCCUGGGGGAAGAGCUUCCCCACAUGAAUAUAGUACAGAAAAACAUAGCAUGUCAUUACAUCAGGGAAGAGAAUGAAGCUUAGAAGUGAGAUACAAUAGCCAUGAUCUAGCAGCUUCACGCAGAGUAAUAUCUUUAACUCUCAAUAUCCAUAGUGAUAAGUUCAGCACGUUGUUUCUCAUUGUGGGUGGACGUAUGGAAUUCAUAACGGGAGACGAAAGCAUUUCGCGAGUCCUCUAGCUUCUAAAGAACUAAAAAAUCAACCAUAUGGAAUGUUAGACUCCCAUAUCUGUUGCAAGUCAGGAAGAAGUCCCAGAUCGAUCCACGAUGAUCAUCACAGUUUUCCAACUUCUUCUAAAUAAGUUCAUCGUUUCUUUUCCUCUGUCGGCUUACAACGUGAUUGGAAGUACAUUCAUUCAUUUGACGCUAAGGCUAAAAACGACUUGGCCAUGAUGCUGUUGAUAUAACCAUCUUUUUCUCUUCGAAGUUGGUGUUUACAUGAUUGGUCAUAAUACUAGAACAUCACACACGGUAAAAAAAAAUACUCUUUCGUGGUUUUAGGUUUGUCAUCACAAUCAUGUCACUGAUGUGAGCACCUCAAAGGAAACAGUUUAUAAACUUUGCCUAAGCGAAUAGCCGAAAAAGGCUUUCGCCCCGCUUUAUAUAUAAAGCAUCAACCACACAUUACAGCCAUCACCACAACAAAGAAGGAAAAGAAGAGAAAAGAAAAUCGACAAGGAUACACACAUUACUGAACAACAAGUGACGGCCUCCGAUCAUGCCAUCGACAAAACCGCGACAAGGGAGCAAUUCGCCACUGGAGGGAGGCCACGCUCCAUCAACUCCCAAGGGCCAACCCUGUUGUUCUACCUUCCGCCGCUGCCUCCGAAGAGGGCACCCCUGCCCUCUCGUCCUGGAUCGAAGGACGCCGACCCGUCAGGAGGCAGAACAGCUCACCCCUGAGCACGGAUGGACUGGCCAACAUGUUGCCGGAGAGAGGACGAGCCCUGGCCACCUCACCUCUCACAGGAACCCAUACAUCGCGCCCGUCACCGACCAAGACCAAGAAGACCACCGCCAUUGCCGAGCAGGGACACGACAGAAACAGGAAAACCACCACCGCGCCGAGCCCCUGACCAUCCUGGACUCCCAAUGCAGCGUCUUCAAGAAGAAAACGACACCGAUGCGCCGUCGCCGCCCAAUCAAGAGAUUUUAGGCUUUCGCCCGGGACCAUGGGGUGGAGGCGAGGAGAGGGUCUCGAUGUCGCCCACCAGAGGGAGAACGGCGCCGCGAGCGUCGCCAACAUCGUGACCGGCACCGCCGGUCAAUGGUUUCCCCUGACCCAGAGCUCGCAUCGCCAUUGCUCCGCCAACCAGCCGAGCAAGACGUCCGGAGGAAGCCCGCACACAGGCUAGCAGGGGAGGACAUCUCCAGAAUUCAGUUCAACCCGUCCCCCUCCCUCCCGCUCCGGCGACGCGCCCUGCGAGCGCGUCACGGGAGGUUCCCCUCCGUCCCCGGUGCAAGACUCCCUCCUCGCUCGCUCCUCCCCCUCGCCGCUGCCGGAGGGCGUCCGCCGGGCGAAGCCCGUGCUGCGCUGGCAGCGGCGGGGCUCUCUCCUUCCUCUCCUGUUCGGGAUCUCGGUGGCGCGGGCCGCCGCUCGUGGGGGAGCUGGGUCCGGCGGGGCCUCCGGCGGCGGAGACGUGUAGAUCUGGCGGCUUCGGUGCUGGGAGGCGGCGGUGCGGCCCAAUGGCGGUGGCGGAGGGGGUUUGAUCUGGCGCGACCGAUCUGCCCCCUGGGAGCGGCGGGCGUUGCGGGUGGCGUGGGGCCACUGAUAGAGAGGGCGUCUCCCCCUUGUCGACAGGGUUUGGCGCCGGCACUCGGUGCGCCGUCUUGGCCGUGCUGGGCGGCGAGUCGGCAGCAGGCUUGGAUUUGAUCUGAAGUUGGCGGCUUCACCUUGCCUAAGUGAAUAUGGGCAACAGUGGCAAAAAUACACCGUUUAUUUAGGACAUACAGUACAAGUCUUAUAGUAUUCGGUGAUCGAGGGCGGCCUCACUUUUGCGGUACGAAUUUGAUAUUGUAGAAGUUAAUUUUUCUCUCUAUAUUUUACAUAAUUGGACAAACUUUACAACUUUUGACUUUUAUCCCUCCAAAGGAGGACACAACACACGCUCUUUACAAUUGUUCCCAUGUCAGACAACUAUGGAGCUCUAUGAGGAGUAUAUGGCACCUACUUGCGGACAUGGAUUUUCAGUUUACCUCUACACGUUGGUUGAAAGAUCUACUGGAGUUUGUGCCGAAAAGUAUGGUCGACUACAUCAUCUUGACUGCUUGGCGAGCAUGGUACGCCCGCAAUGAGGUUACCCAUGCUAAACUUCUACCUACGAUUGAAGGUUCCAAGAGAAUCCUCUUCGGUUAUGUUAAAAUAUUGAGGAACCUAAAGGAAGCAUCCAGUGACGAAAUUAUAAAACGAAAGCAACCCGUUCUGAUCAGUAUGGCGUCUGAUCCUCGCAUGGCACAACUGAAGAAACCACCUGAUAACGUUUGGGCCAAACCUCCAGCUGGGUGGGUGAAACUGAAUUGCGAUGGUUAUGUUUAGGCAGAGGAUGGCUCGGCCGGAGCUGGAACGGGGCUUCAAGAUGAAAAUGGGACCAUAAUUUUCUUGGCGUGUCGUCAACUGCUGAACUGUUCAGAUCCUUUUGAGGCCGAAACAAGGGCAUGUGAGGAAGGCUUGACACUGAUGAUGCAAUGGAGCGAUAAGCUGGUCUAACUCGAACUGGACUGCAAGCUCCUGAUUGAUGCCAUUCAAGAGAAGAGUCAAGACCCAACGUGCUUCGCUCAUUUGAUCUCUAUCAUUAUAGGUUUGUGUAUGGGCAGUAGAAUUAUUUCUACAAGUGGAUCGAUCGCAAAAUAGGGUAAGUCACUGUCUCGCAAAUUUUGCCAGAACAGAGGGAAGAACUGCUGUUUGGUUUGGUUUGGGACCUGAGAACUUGUCUCCAGUUUAUGACCAAGACCUCCUUGUAAACCCUAUUGCUUAAUAUAUCCCCUAUUACCCGCAAUAUAAAAGUACUCCCUCCGUCUACGUGUGUCAGUCACCUUACGAAAACCAAAUAAUCCCAAAACACUUAGGCACAGUACAUUAACUCCCUCCUCAUUUCUUGUUUUGUGACAUAUCAACCAAUAAGAGAUGUGAGCCGUGCAUGCUUUCAAUAACUUGAGACUACCAAACAUGACAUGCAGUGGUUAGUUCAUUGCAUGCAGUGCUAUUAAUUAGCAAAAAGACAUUCAAUUUUCUCGUUUUUCCUCUCCGCCUUGGUCGUGGUGCACAAUGUAAGAUGACUUAUGCACCUAUAGUGGCGGAGCGUGACAAGCCACCAAGGGGGGGCCAAUUUGAAACUAAAAAUGAAAUAUGCAUGAAAACUUAUGUGAUUCACAACAUAAAUUAGUAAUUUCACCAACGCUCGAGCAGUAGGAACUGGAUGUUCUUGUUAAAAAAACAAAAACAGUAUGACUAGUAUGAUUUGAUUAUAUACAUCUAUGGAGGUACCGUUAGUGGCUCCCGCAGUAGCAAUAUGAUGAUGUGUGAUGCUGCCUGCUGCAGUCAGUGGCUGCCGCUGCGGCUUGGUGCAAUUCCUGCCUCGCUAUGCACUCCUAUCUCCGUCUAUCGUUGCUAUGCGUUGCUUCCUAUAUCCCUCUCUCUUCCUCUUGUAUUUCGUUGGUUAUCUUCUGACGAGCUAGGCAUAAUGAUUAGUAUACCUAGUAAUUUUACAAUUGUACUUUCGGAAGGGGGGGUCGUGACCCCCUUUGGCCUCCAAGAGGCUCCGCCACUGCGCACCUAGACGGAGGGAGUACUACAUUUUUGCCUCAGAGUACUAUUUUUGGUGCGUACCAUGUGUUGGUGUGUACUGCUAUCCACCUAUAAAUGGUAGAUAAUUACGGGCGCAUUAGUGCUAUGAUGAGGAGGGGAUAAGUUGGAAUUCAUUAAGUCCCCCCUAAUUCCUGCAAUAAGUCCUCUAUUUAUAUAUUGCUAUGAUAACGAGAGGAUAAAUGGGAAUUCAUUAAUGCCCCCUAAUUCCUGCGAUAAGUCCUCUCUCUAUAUAUGAUCACCAUCAUGGCGAAUACUGGCAUCCAUCGACUAGACUAGAAAAACAACACUAGCUGCCCAGAAGAAGAGGAAUUGCAAGAACCCAUUCACCAUGGCACGUCCAAGGAACGACACACAUAUUUUGUUCUUGGUUGUAGCUCUUCUGGUCAUGUCUACCGCCUUCCUGCCCUGUAACGCAGAUAGUAAGAACAUACAUUUCUCCUGUACAAUAUUUUUUUUUGAAGCAAGGCAAAUACUUUGCUUUUUAUAUUGAUAUAUAGUAGGAGCAAAGGACAACCGGGCCGAAGCCAAAAACAGAAGAAAAAAAAGAAUAUAUGCUUCCAUCAUCUUCUUCUUUAUAGAUCUGUUCUUUCUUUCCCUUGGUACAAAACUGACAGUUCAUCUCUGUUCGUGCCGCUGUGCAGUCGACCCACCCAGCUGGUGCACGCCGGAGGCGGUUUGCCAGGACCCGGUUACGCCGGGAAACAGGGAAACGUGCAAAAGCAUCUGCAAAAGUUUUGGCUACAACCCGGAACAAGCCUACUGCAAUCCCGAUCCCACUCCGAGGUGCUGCUGCAUCUAUUAAGCGCAGGAAAUAACAAUGCCACUGGAGUGGCAGAUGAUGGAUGACAAAGCUAGCAAACUCACUUUUAUGUGUCCAUUUCGACUUAUGUAAAAAUCGGAACAGAUCAUGGUCCAGGCCUGUCCGUCAAUUAAUAAAGAUUAGAAAAAGUUUCUUUUAUAGGCUAGUUUGCAGAAUUAAUAAAUGAUCCAUCUGUAAAAUUGGAAUGUCUUGACUAAAGACGCGAAAUUUACUCUUUGUUCAAGCGGACACAAAUAUAAAGGCAACGAGCACCCCUUCAUAGCCCAACGAGAUAGCCAGCACGUAGUCGGGUCACAGUAUAAGGACAAAAAUGGAUGAUACAAAUCCUCAUUAAUUUGUUGGUUGUCACCCAACAAAAGUCAUGAACCAGAUGAAUUACCGCCGAUAGUAGUUUUACUGAUCACAUGUCGAAAUGUCUAGUGCCAAGAUUAUUGUUUCGGCUGAUCUUCACAACAGGGUGCUCACCUGGGCAAGCCCGACAAGAUGGCUAGCGUGAUCAGUGACAUGAGCACCGAUCGGUUAGGGGAAUUUUCUUACUGAUGGCUGCAGCCUUGCCAUGCCAAGCCGACGUACGCAUCCAUGUCUCCGUUCGGCCGUUGGCCGCAGUGUUAGCUCGCUAACCAUGCUGCUGUUUGCCUCAACUUACGCUGGCACGGCGGCGCGGUGCUUCAGUUUGGUGCCUGAUGCCACCUGCUUUGUGCAGUUUCUCGCAGCUAUGCGCCGCCGCUCUCAGCAGUCAUCGAUUCGACGCCACAACCGUACCACCGCCCCGUGCUGGAUGGCCAACUUGCAAGGCUGAACUGUGUUGGUCCUUUCCGCCAUGCCAAGCCUCGACUGCGUCAUGAGCCACACGUGCCACGCUAUAGGCUGGCUACCGCAGCCCACCACAUGGCUCGGUAGUCGGUACCACCAGUAGGACAUGUCAGCGGCCGGUUCGCCCAUGGGUCGCCGUGCUUGCCAUGGUCAAGCCGCAUGCUGGCGCGCUCGCUGCCACGUUCACGCCAUGCAUGCAGGCUGCCACGUUCCAAGUCCUAGUCGUGUCGCCCAUAUGCCCUACUGGCCCCAUCACGCUCCGCUGAGACCCCACCGCCCGCCACCACCAGUGUUUUGGCCCUGCUGGCCGAAUGUCUCCAGCAUCAGCCGCCUCCAGUCGUCGGCCCGGACAGGGUAGGCUCAAGAGGGAUCAACAGUGGAGGGAGAAAGGGGAAUCAAGGGUGGAGUGGAAAGGGGGAUCGGGAGAGUAGAUAAUAGAAGAAAAGAGAGUAAUAUGACUUGCGCACCCGUAUUGUUGGUGAGAGUAGCUCCUGAACCAGACUGGGAUCAUCACUUUUCCCAGUGCACCGAACAGGACUAGUGUGAGAAUAGACCGGGAUGAAAGAGAUCAGGGUACCAACCAACUUCAGGGAUUUAAAGUUGAGGAUUCAUUUACGUCGUUCUCUACAAAGUUAGGGUUUAUUUCAGACUUUUCUCGUGGCGGCAGUGUGCGUCAUGGCUCAUCUAACACAGUGAACACGGCAUACGGUGCACCUCCCGUUGCGUUUCUUUAGCAGAAUUUUGGCCGAGUCAUGCAGAGGAGCCCCUGGUGACGAACUUGUAAUAGACAGCAAUCUCUACCGAGUCUUUGUCCCUAGAAAUCUAGAGCCUCCGACGGUCAGAAGAGCUGAGUUCUGGAUGGGGUCAAGUUAUUAGUUCUGUGGGUUAGGUAUACCGCACCCAAAGUUGCACAUGCACAGCGCCAUUACCUGCAGGCCGUGGCACACCUGCUCUGGCCGUCCAAGUCCAAGUCGGCGACCCAACGGCCUUUACCGAAUCCCGCACCCAAACGGCCGGCAGCGCAUCGCGCGACGCCGACCAACCACGAUACUCCGAGUCCAAGUCCAAGUCUCCGACCCAGCAGGCAGCCUGCCUGAACGAUCUUGACCAACUCUACGUGCGGCUUGUCGUGUCAGGUCGCAGCGCGUCUCUCCGCCUCUCCGACUCCGUCAACAAUCGACCACGUCUCGCGUCGCGUCUCUCGUCCGCGUCAGGGCUCCACUUUCCUGCCCCCGUUUCCUCGUAUAUAUUCAUACAGAGCACGAGCGGAGCUAUCGGAAACCAAGCAUCCAUCAAUGCAGCACACUCGCAUACCAGGAAACCGAAACGCAUCAAGGCUAGGCGCCGCUGACCAGGGACAGAAUCUUGGCUUUCUCGAUCCUCAGCUCCUCGCCCAUGGACAUUGCGGGUGUCGGCUACAGCACGCCCACGCGCCUUUCCUGGAGGGGUGGCAGCGGGGAGAAGCCGGAGAAAGCGGCGGACAAGCAGCGGCAGGAGGAGAAGGUCGACCAGGGCUCUCGGCCGGAGAAGAAGCGGGAGGUGCGGUUUGCACCGGAGUUCGACGGCAUCAACUGCUUCGAGUCCAUCAUCCCCUUUUGAGCGGCUGAUCCGCUGCUGUCUCGGGAUAGUUAGCGAGCUUCAUUUUUUUUUUUUUUCUGGUUGCUUAAUUAGUGAUGAUGAUACAUGUAUUUAUCAAAAAAAAGUGAUGACGAGACCUGCAAUAUGUACAGAGGACGCAGUGGCGGAUUCAGUGGGGGUUCCGUGGGUGCCCGGGCACCCCCUCCACAAAUGCAAAAGCAAAUUUGUCUAGUACUACCUCCGUCCUGCUUUAUUGGUAUCUAUUGUAUUCUGUGUCAAAUUUUGACCAUAAAUUUAACUAACAAAAUGUUCAUCCAUGUCACAAAAAAUAUAUCAUUGAAAACUAUGUUCAAAUAUGAAUCCAACAAUAUAAUUUUUAUUGACAUGCAUUAACAUUUUCUUAGUUAAAUAUUUGGUCAAAAUUUGGCAUAAAUUACGAAAAAAGACCAAUAAACCAGGACGGAGGUAGUAUUAGUUAGUCUAAUCCAAUGUGUACUAUAGGGUUAAAAUGAUACACGGGCAAUUUGUUAUAACUUGUGACAAGGUUGGUGCGCUCCAUGGUCAAGCUUUAGGUCUGACACUAAGAGGAGAUGAAUGCAUUACUGAUCAUACGCUUUAUGCUGAUCUUUUCUGCUGCUAACUUGAGCCAUAAUUCUAUGAAGUGUAUGAUAAAAAAAUGACAAAUUCCUUCCGAAUUCUGACCCUAGCCCCCCAACUCCCAGUGUGCAAAUCAAAAUGUUAAAACACACACACAUUAUUCUUUUUGCAGAAAAACACCGAUGCACUGAUCAAUGCGGAAAAUGCCACAGAAAAAUAAACAGUGAAAGUAAAUACUCCACCAGCCUUCACUUUUGUGAGUAAUGCUUGUGCUAUAUAUAUGUCCAUAUUCAAACGAACAUAUAGCAAGGUCCAAUAGUUCAUAAACACUUUGAUACUUAUUCUUCCUUCUGUUUGACAUGUUAGAGUGCAGAUAUAUAGCUAACAGCACCCAGAGGAAAGCGUCGAGAGAUGAUCCAAAGGGGUCCACAAAUAUUUGGGAAUCAGAUGCAUCAGGAGCAAAGCAGUUUGUACUCGGUCAAUUCAGUAGCCUGCCCAUGUAUUCACACUCUCUACAAAAUCCAGGAAACAUGGUACAUGUUACUAAGGAGUUGUCAUCAGCGAAAGAUGGCUCAGCAUGACAGAUUUAUCCCGUCUCUCGUGGGGAAACUGUUCUGUAUUGAAUUCGCUUGAGGAAACGAAUUCAGGGGCGAAAAGCUACUCAAUUCGUAAAGAGGGGUUGAAUGGCAAUUGUGCUUGACAUUUACCGACAUAGCAAAUUCCAUCUUAACGGCAAUUUGACCAACCUGUCUGUGACGUCCGGGUAAUCAAGCUACAGUGAACCUCUGCUAAUGAUGCCACGUCACCUUGAUUAUUAUUACUAAUCUUGCGUUAGUUCGAAACCGGUUCAAAUUUCAAAUUUAAAAUCAAGUCAAACCAUUAAAGUUUUCAAAAGUAAAAAACUAAAAUGUUCUUAAUGUGACAAAUAAAUCAUGCAUAUUAUUGGUGGAGUAACAACAUCUUUAUAAAAUAAUUAAAUACCCUAAAGUGAUUAAAACAACAGCAAAGCAAUUAGUUAUACUCCUAAUAUAUUUUACCAAAUACUAAACUAUUUUUAUUCUGAGAUAAAACUUCUUAGAACAGUGGAUUAUUUUGACACACUAUUUUUGAAGCUAUUGUCAUCUUUUACUAAACCAGGAAUAAAGAGUAACUAAAAUAAAAUAGAAAAGAAUAACAAGAAAAAAACAACAACAACAAAAGAAAAUAAAAGCCCCCCCCCCCCUCGCUGGGCCUCGGCCCAGCUGGCCACGGGGCUAACCAGGCCGCUCAGCCGGCCCACUUGGCCCGGCCUCCCCCACUCAUUCCCUUAUCNNNNNNNNNNNNNNNNNNNNNNNNNNNNNNNNNNNNNNNNNNNNNNNNNNNNNNNNNNNNNNNNNNNNNNNNNNNNNNNNNNNNNNNNNNNNNNNNNNNNNNNNNNNNNNNNNNNNNNNNNNNNNNNNNNNNNNNNNNNNNNNNNNNNNNNNNNNNNNNNNNNNNNNNNNNNNNNNNNNNNNNNNNNNNNNNNNNNNNNNNNNNNNNNNNNNNNNNNNNNNNNNNNNNNNNNNNNNNNNNNNNNNNNNNNNNNNNNNNNNNNNNNNNNNNNNNNNNNNNNNNNNNNNNNNNNNNNNNNNNNNNNNNNNNNNNNNNNNNNNNNNNNNNNNNNNNNNNNNNNNNNNNNNNNNNNNNNNNNNNNNNNNNNNNNNNNNNNNNNNNNNNNNNNNNNNNNNNNNNNNNNNNNNNNNNNNNNNNNNNNNNNNNNNNNNNNNNNNNNNNNNNNNNNNNNNNNNNNNNNNNNNNNNNNNNNNNNNNNNNNNNNNNNNNNNNNNNNNNNNNNNNNNNNNNNNNNNNNNNNNNNNNNNNNNUGCCUAGUCCCUACGACCCGCCGUGAGCCCCGCCUCCUCUCCUCUUUCCCCCCCACGACGCGCUCACCGCGACCGGCCGCGUCCCGCAACUCCACGCCGGCGCGCUGCCCGCGCCGUGCUCGCGGCCACCACGACCCCACGCGCCCGUCCCCUGUUGCGGUGCCUCGCCGCUGGCCCCGUGCCCCCUUGUGUUGGUCUGCUGCGGUGGCUGACGCUGCGGGCGCUGCCGCCGUCGUCCACCCGCGCCCGCCGUGGCCUCUGCCACCCUCGCCCGCACUCGCCGGCGGCCACGCUGGCCGUGCCCGGCCGUAACUGGCCUGGGCCAGUGCCCAGUAGGGCUGGCGCCCGCAGUGCCCGUUCGGGCUAUGCCCACGCCCGCGCCCGUUGACCCGCUAAGGCCUUUGGCCCACUGACAAAGGGGGCCCCAGCCCCAGAAAAAAAAGGAAAAUAAUAAUAAUAAUAUUAAUUAAUUAAUUAACUAAAUUAAUUGAGUUUAAUUAACCUGAUCAAUUAACUAAACUAAUUAACCUGUUAGUUUAAUUAAACUGUAAUUAGAUUAACCUAAACCCUAAUUAACCUAACAGUGUAUGACAGGUGGGUCCCACGGGACCCACAUGUCAGUUUGACACAGGUCAACCGCACUGUUGCCUGCUGACAUCACACAUACGUCAUGCUGACGUCAGCAUUUACUAUUCUGGAUAAUGUUGAAUUAAAUAAAUAAUUAAAUUCCAGAAAUUAAUAAAAUCUUUAGAAAAUCAUAUCUUUUAAUCCGUAACUCGGAUUAAAAUAUUUUCAAUAUGAAAGUUGUUCAGAACGACGAGACAAAUCCGGUUGCGCGGUCCGUUCGUCCGCCACACACCCCUAACCUAUCGAACCCGCAACUUUCCCCCUCCGGCUCCUCUGCCCGAAAACACGAAACACCGGGAAUACUUUCCCGGGGGUUUUCCCCCCUUCACCGGUAUCACCUACUACCGCGUUAGGGCACACCGAACACCGCGUAUUGCCUUGAUAUAUUUUGUGGUGCUUUGUUUGCUCUGUAUUCAUUAUUUCUUCCCCCUCUUCUCUCCGGUAGACUACGAGACCGACGCUGCUGCUGACCAGUUCGACUACGGAGUUGACGACCCCUCUCUCUUGCCAGAGCAACCAGGCAAGCCCCCCCUUUGAUCACCAGAUAUCGCCUACUCUUCUCUCUACUGCUUGCAUUAGAGUAGUGUAGCAUGUUACUGCUUUCCGUUAAUCCUAUUCUGAUGCAUAGCCUGUCAUUGCUGCUACAGUCAUUGAUACCUUACCCGCAAUCCUAAAUGCUUAGUAUAGGAUGCUAGUGUUCCAUCAGUGACCCUACACUCUUGUCCGUCUGCCAUGCUAUACUACUGGGCUGUGAUCACUUCGGGAGGUGAUCACGGGCAUAUACUAUAUACUUUACACUGUUACAUUACUGGUGAUACUGUUUGGAGAUGGGGGCUGAAGGGGCAGGUGGCUCCAUCCAGGUAGUGGUGGGCCUGAGUUCCCGACGGCCCCCGACUGUUACUUUGUGGCGGAGCGACAGGGCAGGUUGAGACCACCUAGGAGAGAGGUGGGCCUGAUCCUGUUCGGCGUUCGCGAAUAUUUAACACGCUUAACGAGAUCUUGGUAUUUGAUCUGAGUUGGCUACGAGCCUAUACGCACUAACCAUCUACGUGGGAGUAGUUAUGGGUAUCCCGGCGUCGUGGUAUCAGCCGAAGCACUUCAGACGUCAGCGACGGAGCGGCGCGCGCCGGAUUGGACUGGAACGCCUACUAGGCUAGGUCUGCUUCCGGCAGCCCUCGCAACGUGCAGGUGUGCUAUGGGCGAUGGGCCCAGACCCCUGUGCGCUUAGGUUUAGACCGGCGUGCUGGCCUCUCUGUUUUGCCUAGGUGGGGCUGCGACGUGUUGAUCUUCCGAGGCCGGGCAUGACCCAGGAAAGUGUGUCCGGCCAAAUGGGAUCAAGCGUGUUGGGUAAGUUGGUGCACCCCUGCAGGGAAGUUAAUCUAUUCGAAUAGCCGUGAUCUUCGGUAACAGGACGACUUGGAGUUGUACCUUGACCUUAUGACAACUAGAACCGGAUACUUAAUAAAACACACCCUUCCAAGUUCCACAGACAACCCGGUGAUCGCUUUUCUACAGGGCGACGAGGGGAGGAUCGCCGGGUAGGGUUAUGCUAUGCGAUGCUACUUGGAGAUGCUGCUUGGAGAUGCUACUUGAAGAUGCUACUUGGAGGACUUCAAUCUACUCUCUCCUACAUGCUGCAAGACGGAGGCUGCCAGAAGCGUAGUCUUCGACAGGAUUAGCUAUCCCCCUCUUAUUCUGGCAUUCUGCAGUUCAGUCCACUGAUAUGGCCUCCUUACACAUAUACCCAUGCAUAUGUAGUGUAGUUCCUUGCUUGCGAGUACUUUGGAUGAGUACUCACGGUUGCUUUCUCCCCCCCUUUUUCCCCUUUUCCUUUCUUUCUGGUUGUCACAACCAGAUGCUGGAGUUCAGGAGCCAGACGCCACCGUCGACGACGACCCCUACUACACCGGAGGUGCCCCUACUACGUGCAGCCCGCUGACGACGUCCAGGAGUAGUUAGGAGGAUCCCAGGCAGGAGGCAUGCACCUCUUUGGAUCUGUAUCCCAGUUUGUGCUAGCCUUCUUAAGGCAAACUUGUUUAACUUAUGUCUGUACUCAGAUAUUGUUGCUUCCGCUGACUCGUCUGUGAUCGAGCACUUGUAUUCGAGCCCUCGAGGCCCCUGGCUUGUAUUAUGAUGCUUGUAUGACUUAUUUUAUUUGUAGAGUUGUGUUGUGAUAUCUUCCCGUGAGUCCCUGAUCUUGAUCGUACACAUUUGCGUGCAUGAUUAGUGUACGAUUGAAUCGGGGGCGUCACACUGCCUACAUAAUAAAUUCUUUGGCAUCAUAGUUCUCUAUCUGUAUGUUAUUGUUGCUAAGCAAUGACAAGGCUUAUAGUUUGUACGGAGCUAGUGACGAAAUAUGAUUGUGUUAUCCCAUGGCUAACUUUGAUGGCUGCUGUUCGUUGCAAACCAAACCAAUUAUUGCUGCCGGCAUAACUAAGAAUAUGACGCAGUAUGCAACGAGAUUAGAAUUUAUCUGCAGAGCAGGCGAUAUGCGUGAAAGAAACCGGCCAAGUUCUUUUGUGAAUUGGCACAUCCUUUUUUUGAUUUGCUUUCUCUGAACAUAUCUAUAAGUUCCUGAACUGUGUCCGAUGCUUAAGUCCGUUGCUUCCAUAUGAAUGUGAUCUCAAAUCAAAAGAAAAGUAGAGUUUGGUCGCACUUAUAUACAUGUACUAACUUUGUACAUCUUCUGGCCUCAGGAAGAAACAGAGAGGUCAAAUUCAACGCACCGGUCCUCAGGUGACCAAUCGGUACACACGCAACACACCUUCGUCGAAGAAGAAAGAAUCAAGAAUUGCACACCCCUGGAUCAGCCGAGCGUCUUGCAGUAAUGGAGUUCACUGACGCCAGACGAUGGUAUCGAAACAGUCAAUCCCGUCGAACUCCGGUGCGAACCGCGGCCGCCGCGUCUCCUCCCGCGGCCGUGGAAGCUGCGACUGCGAGUGCGAUUUCCCCUUUCCAAGCUGCUGCUCAGCCUCCGGCGCCUUCUCGUCCUGCUGCAUGCCCCGCCAGGAAAUCCUCGCCCAGCUGCCGCGGGUGCCGUGGUUGUUAUCGGCCGGCGAUGCGCUCAGGAUAAAGGCGACGAGCAUCUUGUCCAUGACCGAUUAGAGACGGGUGAAUGAUUCCCGCAGCAGAUUCGGUGGUCGUUGCUUGGUUCCUGUGUUGCUAAGGUUGGUGGAGGGAGGGAGGAUGCGAGCCUGGCUUAUAUACGUCGGAGCAUCGACGAUGAUUUGGACAUGGCGGUUUCAUGCGCUGGAGGAAUCCAGAAUAUUCGUGGACGCGGCUGCGAGGGAGAACCAGCUAAUGAGCUCGUGAUGCAGAUACACGCCGGGGCUGUUAGCACAAAUCUUGGCCCGUGCGCUCGUGGCCGGGACUCGCGGAGCUGGCCGUCCGUGGUUGAGUCGUUCGUGUCAUGCGGCCGUAAGUGGAGCAGCUGCGUCUGCCGUGCCGUUGGGCAGCCGUGCAGUGCGGACGUGCGUGGGUGCAUGGCUUACUGGCCGGUGUGGUAAUGCGUGGGUGCAUGCCUUACUGGCCGGUGUGGCCGACGAGCUGUGUGUGCGCGCAGGUCUACUACUUAAGGUGUUGUGCCUGUGCGUGUUGGUGGAUGAGCCAAGGAGAAGCCAGUGAAGAGAUGUAGUCUUCAAUGGUUUUUUUUUUUGAGGGAAAACUCCAAUUCAUUAAUUAACCAUAGCUCGGAAUGUCAUCCGAGAUUACAUCCAGGAUACAAUCAGGAGGGGUACCAAACCAGUUCGAACACACACCCUCCCCAACACCAACACGCGCUAGCUUAUGAGCCGCUACGUUGGCAUUCCUACAUACCCAAGAUACUUUAAACUCAAGACACAAGGCCAGCAUCGACUUGAUCUCGCUGAUCCAGGGGCCAAAGACAGACAGGUCCUGCUGCGCUCGAUUGAUCCUUUGCACCGCAGAUAAGCAGUCCAGCUCGAUGUGAACUCUACCCAAGUUCAUCUCCAGCGCCAUCCGCAGCGCCUUCCUGCAAGCUAGAAUCUCAGUGGCCUCGGGAUCAGAUAUGUUAGGGAAGUGAUAGCAGCUGCCAGCAAUGAAAGUCGCACUGUGAUCACGCAGCACGGCACCCCCACCACCACAGCCUCCAGCUUUUGAGACAGCGCCAUCCGAAUUGAUCUUGAUCCACCCCACGUCCGGCACUUCCCACCUUUGGCGAGGCCUAUCAGCUGGAAUCCGAUGCCGUUGUUGAUGAAUGCCACGCCACUCCCGGACAUGAUGCAGGACCCCUGUCAUUAUUUCAUGUGCCGCCGCAAUCUGCUUUCCAUCACGAGCCUCAUUCCGCGCCAGCCAUAGGCCAUAGACCGCAUGCAUAACCAGCUCGCGCUCUUCAUCCUUAGCUCCAGAGGAGCUAUCAGUGUAGGUCCCUGUGCGACUCCACACAUACCGGGGGAGAGGCCAUAGCACACACCAAAUCACUUUGAAGCAGCGUCCAGAACAGGCGGGAAUGGGGGCAAGACCAAAACCGAUGCUGGAUGGUCUCCUCCCUUCCACAGGCUGGGCAGAACACGCCCCCUUUGAUGCGCCGACGGUGGAGCUCCGCACCCACAGCAAGACCAUUCUGAAGGAGACGUCAAAAGUGAACUUUUACCUUCCCCGGAGCAUUGGUGUCCCAAAGGGUGAGAAACGCUUUGUGCUUGUUUACAGAGGACGACGAGGCUGGCUGUCCUAACCUCCUUCGGUCCAUAGAUAUCCUCAAGUGAAAGGCUAAACUAACACUGAACGCGCCAUUUUUUGUGAAAAAAAUCGUCUGUGCCCGGUCCACCCACAGCGAUUUGCUUAAUAUCAGCAGCAUCCGAGGGCGAGAACAUCUCAUCCACCCUCGCAACGUUCCAGUCCGUGCCAUCUUUAGUUAACAGAUCCGCAACUCUUGUAACUCCCUGGAGGUACUGCUGACCCAGUGGUCGCAGGCACCCGUUCCUCGGGAUCCAAUUUUCGUGAUGUAUGUUGACCCUAGACCCAUCAGCAAUCCUCCAAACAAGCCCCUCCCGCAGCAAAUCCCUUCCAUGUAAGAUGCUACGAAAGGUGUAUGAAGCAUUUGAGGGGCAAGUGGCAGCAAGGAUGGAGGAGUCCUGGAAAUACCUAGCCUUCAAAAAACGAGCAACCAGCGAUGCUGGUGAAGUUAAGAGCCGCCAUGCUUGCUUGGCAAGCAGGGCCUGGUUGAAAGCUUGCGGGUCCCGGAACCCCAAGCCGCCCUCCCUCUUAGGGGCACAUAUCUUCUCCCACGAGAGCCAAUGUACUUUCCGUUCGCCAUUUGUUGCACCCCACCAGAAUUUUGAAGAGAUCGAAGUCACGUUCCGGCACGUCUUCUUUGCGAGGUGAAAACAACUCAUGGUGAACGUUGGUAUCGCUUGCAAACCCGAUUUGAUAAGCACCUCACGGGCCUUUUUGGAGAGGCCUUGCCCCUUAUAGCCCCCCACUUUCUCCUUUGAGCGUUCAGUCAAGUACUUGAACGUCCCCUCUUUUGACCUCCCAACCUGUGUUGGGAGGCCGAGAUACUUCUCACUCAAAGCCUCCGACUGAAUCCCCACUGUUUGCCUCCAAGAGUCUUGUUCUCCUCCGAGAAACCAUUGCCAAAGAAGAUGGAGGACUUAGCUAGAUUGACCUUUUGACAGGAGGCAGACUCAUAUUUUGCAAGGAGAGCUCUGAGAGCGGCCAUACUCUCCUCAGAGCCCUCAAGGAAGACGAUGCUGUCAUCAGCAAACAGAAGGUGUGUGAUAUGGGGGCCCGUGCCCCCGAACGACACCCCCUUGAUUAAGUUAUCACUUUGAGCUUGUUUGAGCAGAGCCGAGAAACCCUCCACACAGAAUAGGAAGAGGUAGGGGGAGAGGGGAUCCCCCUGCCGCAGUCCUCUAGAUGGCAGGAAUGCUCUUGAUAGGCCACCAUUAAGCUUAACCGAGAAGCUAGCUGUAGUGACACAUCGCAUAAUCAUAGAGACCCAUUGGGGGGCAAAGCCCAGCUUAGCCAUCAUAUCUUCCAGAAACUGCCAUUCUACUCUGUCAUAGGCCUUCAUCAUAUCAAGCUUCACAGCACAAAGAGUCAUUUUCCUUUUCCUCGUCCUUAUUGCAUGGACACACUCAUAGGCAAUUAACACAUUAUCCGUAAUAAGGCGUCCUGGGACAAAAGCGCUCUGCUCUUCAGAAAUGAGGACAGGCAAAAUGACCUUUAGUCUAUUGGCCAGGACCUUUGUGGCAAGUUUGUAAAGCACGUUACAUAAGCUGAUGGGCCUGAACUGAGACAUCAACUCCGGAGAAUUUGUUUUGGGUAUCAUGACAAUGACCGUGGCAUUAAAAUCAUCCGGUGUUGCAGCCCCAUUCAGGAAAUCUUUAAUUGCAGCACAGACAUCAUCCUUCACGAGCGCCCAGUGGCGCUGAUAGAACAGCGCCGGCAACCCAUCAGGGCCCGGAGCCUUGGUUGGGCCCAUUUGAAACAAUGCAUCUUCGAUCUCCUUAUCGGUGAAAGGAGCAGUGAGUCUCCCGUUCAUGUCAUCAGAAACCGCCGGUUCAAUGUGAUUUAAAAUGUUCUGCGAACCAGCCGAGCCUUCAGAUGAGAAUAACUGCUCAUAGAACGAAGCUGCCACUUCACGCAUCUCGUCAUUGACCAUAGCACGGGCCCCAUUUUCCAUAACCAAGGAUUUAACAGUGUUUUUCCGCUUUCUAUGGGUGGCCCGUGCCUGGAAAUACUUUGUAUUUUGGUCCCCCGCCUGAAGCCAGUCCACCCGGGAACGCUGCCUAUACAUGACUUCCUCCCGCUCAAACAUCUCCCGCAACUGAUCCUCAAUCUCGCGCACCUCCAAAUUAACACCAGUGUGUAAAGCACACGACCUAGCCUCAUCCAAAUGCUUCUUGAGCUUAGCAAUCUUCCACCUGACGGACCCGGAGACUUCACGAGCUCACCGCUGCAUGCUACCUGAAACAGUUGCUAGGCGUUGCCAAACAUUAUCAAGACCAAAACCCCCCACGCCCGCCGCCUUCCAGGCCUCCUCAACCAUGGUAUCAUAUUGCUCAUGCCUAGUCCAGGCUUCCUCAAACCUGAAGGGGCGCGGGCCACCGGUGUUCGCACAUGGAGCCGUCUCCAUGGCCUUAAUCAGAAGGGCUUGGUGAUCCGACUCCUCCGUCACAAUGUGUUCCACCACAGAUUCCGGGAAGCAAGCAAGAAAAGCAUUUGAACAGACCGCUCUAUCCAAACGCACUUUCACGUUGUCAUCACCAUCCCUUUUGUUGUCCCACGUGUAGGGGAAGCCGGAAAAGCCCAUGUCCGCUAGGCCGCNNNNNNNNNNNNNNNNNNNNNNNNNNNNNNNNNNNNNNNNNNNNNNNNNNNNNNNNNNNNNNNNNNNNNNNNNNNNNNNNNNNNNNNNNNNNNNNNNNNNNNNNNNNNNNNNNNNNNNNNNNNNNNNNNNNNNNNNNNNNNNNNNNNNNNNNNNNNNNNNNNNNNNNNNNNNNNNNNNNNNNNNNNNNNNNNNNNNNNNNNNNNNNNNNNNNNNNNNNNNNNNNNNNNNNNNNNNNNNNNNGAAGUCACCCGCGCACAGCCAAGGGAGGUCAUCUUGAGAUCUCAAGAAACGAAUCGCCUUCCAAGAUUUAUUCCGAAGUUCCGUCCUCGGCUCACCGUAGAAUCCAGUGAAUCUAACGGUCUUGCCAUCAUGAACAAUGGUGGCGUCGAUGAAGUAUUGACACCACGGGCGUACAGUGACACUGACGUGAUCACGCCACCACAACGCCAAGCCACCACUCUGCCCAACACAAUCAACCGCCACCCCAUGCUAGAAACCCAAGCUCCACCGAAUCCGUUCCAUCGCUCUAGCCUUCUUUUUUGUUUCGCACAGGAACACCACCGCAGGAUUGUGAGACCGAACAAGGUCCCGUAACUCUCCAACUGUCGAGCCCAAUCCCAAACCCCGACAGUUCCAAGUAAGGAAAUUCAUGGCUCCCGGCGGCCCUGCUGACCAGGGUCCGCCGAUCGACCGUUGCUGCCGGAGAUGCGUUCAAACACUGUAGAGGUCUUGCAUCUAGUCUCGCGAAUGAACGCAUCAUGUGAGCUCUGUUUCUCCAACUCGCCCUUAGCCACCCACCUCUGCCGUGUGCCUCUCUUCAUGCUUUCCGAUCUCUCUCUGUCCUGUGAACAGGAGCCGUGCCGGUGCGAGCCUUCCCCUCUGUGAUGUCUUACGUAGUAACCAUGGCGACGAGGCCGCUCCUCAUGCAUAGCGGGCACAUGCAUACCGGGCCCCUGCAUGCCGGGUUCGCCCAGUGGCUCACCCGCAUCCAUUGGAAAUUUGCCCCGGCUGUCUCUAUCAUAUCCCACAGACCGAUACGCCUCCAGACUCGUGUGAGCACUGUGGUCAUCCUUUCUCCCCCCAGAUCUAACAGAAUCUGACCUUGGAUAAUUACAUUGCUCAGUCAACUUAUCACACAGAUCCCUCUCCCUCUCUGCUCCAAACCAACACGAAGAUCCUCCUGGCAAUUACCCCUAAGCUGACUCAUGCCUGCGCCCCUGUUAAAAUGCGGUCCUUCCCCAUGGUCCACCAUGCCGCCAGUGCGGCGCUCACCGGAGGAGGCAAAAUCAGCGCUGAGAUUCCUUCUAGAGGGUAAAUCCCGAACUCUCGGGUUCUCAAAGCGAGUCCGGGAACCUUCACCACUUUGUGAGCUGCCAAGGCUGUUUGUCCUACUCGAAGCAGCAAAGGCUGAUUCCUCCUUGCCCUGGUAGUUCCUCUCAGGGGAGGCUCUCAGCCAUUCCCCCCAUUGAUCAGAGGAAUCUACAGGGGGCUUGCAAACCCCUCCCACAUGGACUAAACGACCACACUCAAAACAAUAGUGUGGAACUUUCUCGUACUGAAAAUCGAACCAAGUGCCCUCCGGGUCAUCCUUAGAUUUCUUGAGCUUGAAACACCUGACCAACGGUUCAAACACAGAGAUUGUAGCUCUCACUCGCAGGUGUUGGCCGCGAGCCAGGCCGUCUCUGUCAGCAUCAACUUUGACCACCUCUCCAAGCCAGUUGCCCAGAGCUUUCCCAAAAGCCUCCGUUCUCUUAUCCGGAGGUAAAUCAUCCACCCUGACCCAAAUGUCAAUCUUAUCAAAGAUCAUCUCCGAGGGUCUAACACUUCCUUCAUAAUCUUUCAUAAUGAGAACACAAAAGUCAUACUGCCACGGACCAUUAUUAAGGACAUGUCUCCAGUCUCCUUCACAACCAAAAUCCACAACAAAGAUGUUGGAACCCAUAUCACGAAACUUUGCUUCCUUAUGGAGACCCCUGGCCCUAAUCAAAGUGCGUUCCAGUGCCGAUUUCUUCAGGGACCGAUGAGAACAUACCUUUCCAACUGCAGACCAUCGAGAAGCUUUAGGGUGAGAUUGGUCUUCUUCCUCAAACACCAUCCCAUCAGCUUCUUUGUCCAGCAGCAUCAUUCCUCCCAAUCUUGCAGACAAACUCGCCACCGGAUCCGGAGUUUUACAUCCUGCCGGAGACCCCUUGGUCCCCGCGCUUUCAGAUUCGCCCCGCAUCCGCGCCGGCGUGUUGGGGGCCGCCUGCUUGGACUUGGGGGUUGCCGUCGUCUCCGGAACCGCAGCAUCCUUGCUGCUCGCCUUCUCCGCCAUGGCCUCCGUCCCGGUGGAGAUGAGCAGAUUGUCGACCAGCGUCCAGGCCGCGCCGUCGCAGACUCAGCCGUCGCCGCAGCCAAACCACCCCCGGCAAGAGAACCCUAAACCUAGCGCUAGAGCCCGAUCGCCAAGCAAUCGCCUCUAACCGCCUUAGCGUACCCCCGUGGUGGACCCUCUGGCAGCCAGCAAGGUAGUCUUCAAUGGUUAGUGCGUGUGUGUCCGGAGAGAAGCUAGGAGAGUUGUGAUCUCCAGCGUCCGGUCUCCCAUGUGUAUUUGCCGCUGCGGUUUGUUGCCGAGCCGGAUAUGUGCCCACAAAAGAAAUCGCUGUUUGUGUGGCGUGGCGCCGUUCGUGCGCGCAGGCAUUUGUGGGCCGGAAAAUUAGUGAUCUCCAUCUUCCACCUUCGUCUGCUGAGUGAUAGAGAGAGAGAGCUGGUCCGGGGUUUGUCCCAACAGUGGUGUGGCCCCGCAGUGUCGGGGCUUCGCACAUUUCUUUUUCCUUUCCCUCUGUUUGUACUGUGCUGCUCCCUCUGUGGCCAUAGCAUGACGUGUUGGGUGGUGCCAUGUCCGAGAGUUGACUUGUUGAAAGAAAUUUUUAAGAUUUCUAGCUAGAAAGGAAUUUUAGUUAAGAAUUAGAGCAGAGGUAUGUGCAAUGUUUUGUCCUUAGUAGUACAAUACUAUUUUAAAAAUAUAUUUGCUAUACUUAUUGAAUCAAAUAUUCGAUGCUUUGUUUUUUAGAAAAUUUUAGCAUGAUUCUCUUUUUUCCGAUUGAACUAUUUUGAGUUUGGACCCCGCUGGGUGGCAAAUGGUUACCAGCCACCCUAGGCAUCUGCAUGUUACUUUUUUUGGUGUAUUUUUUAUUUUUUUUAGUGUAAUUUUCGUAGAAAACUGACACCCUUAGAUCCAGAUCGGAGGAUCUGGGGACGUUCGCCAGGAAUUGCUCCCUGGGGAACGUAAGCCAAAUAAGAUUUCCAUUGAGUUUUGAGUAUAUGAUAGACUGUUGGUGGUUGUCUUCCGGGAGAUGUAAUAAAGUAAAUUAAACUCAUGGGCAAUAGGAGUACUGCUAUCAAUGAUUCACAUAUCCUAGCUCCGUGAUGUGGCACUGGACAACUAUUGGUAGCCACUAUAUAUGUCAUUGCUUCUAACCAAGGUUUUCAUGUUGCAAAUGCCACUACAAACGCUACCCCUAUCAACUCGUGUGCGAGCGAGAAUCUGAGUAUCUUGAUACAGUCAUAUGUUGUCGGAUUGGAAGACACCGGGAAAAUUGUGCUAGGUGUAGAUUCAUAUGUACACAUGAACCAGAGGGUACCUCGUACAACAAAUUUGGAUCCAUCAUUGCUAGGAUUCUUUUGCUGUCGCUGUUCACUGUACCGAGUCCGAAAGACAUGCCGUCGCUGUUCACCAUACCAUGCAAGUUGCCGCACUACAAAUUUCCUAUGCGAGGGUGGUGCAGCAAGGUUAAUGGGGAACUCAACCCAAAUGGCUUCCUGCAGAAAAUCGUCACUUACACAUAUACGACAGGCUUCCUCACAAAACUAACAUACACAAAACUAACAUAUACUCCCUCCGUUCCCAAAUAUUUGUCUUUCUAGAGAUUUCAACAAGUGACUACAUACGGAGCAAAAUGAGUGAACCUACACUUUAAAAUAUGUCUAUAUACAUCCUUAUGUGGUAGUCCAUUUGAAAUCUCUAAAAAACAAAUAUUUAGGAACGGAGGAAGUAUAUGUUGCACUCAUCUGUCAUGAUUUCCUUCUGGCUUGGCCCGGCCCUAUGCCAAUCAUGCACACCACUAAUUAACCAUCUGUGAUGAUAAUCAAUGACUAAUCAGUGAGACUAGCUCGUGACACAAGACCCAAAACUGUCACUAGGAGGUGUCCUGUGAUCCAACCUACUCUAGUUUCCGCUAAAUUCAGACUUUGGAGGCUCGACUAUUCAGUUUAUUUCGACAAAGGGUGAAUUUUAUGGAUUCAAAUGUAGCAUCAAGCAAAUACAAAACAAAAUGAGCACACACCUGGCCUCUGAUAGUUAGGAUGCAUACAGCAAACACCAACGUACACACAGAAAUAACUCUCCGAUAAAUAGCAAAGUCAUAUAAGACCAAAUCUAUGUAUAAGCGAGAGAAAAAAACCCGAAAGCGAUCAGAUCUGCGAUCGACAAACUAAAAAGAAUGGCCAUAUCCGCACCAACCAUGUAAUGACACCACAAGGAUGCUGAGGUCCUUCAACAGAAACGCCUUCAGGAAAAGAGCGAAACUCAAGCGCAGUCGCCAUCGGAUUGAACCAUCCAAGACCACAAUCUAGGUCUUUACCUAGAAGAACCAGUCCGAGCAUAUCCGAGGAAUGCCUUGAAAGGUAACGACGUAAAAACAUCGCCAUUGCCAGGUGUAACCAACUUAGGUCGGACCUAUGAUUUCAUCCCAGAGCUUAAGAACAAGUGCUCGACUAGCACCACCAUCAAUGUCACUUGUGUGUUGUCACCACCAAUUUUCCACGAUCCUAGCAGCUAAAUGCGAUUGGCGACCGUUGUCGCUGCACAACCAUCAUUUUGCGUCAAGUCGUCGUCUAUAGCUUGCAUGUCACUGGCAAAGUCAACCAUCAGAUCUGGAAGAAGGAACCAUCACGAAGACCUUUUGAUGGCCACCGCAAUCCGCAAUGAUGCUACCACUAUAGGCGCCGAGAAUAAGGGAACGUUGGCGCCGGAGAUUAGUUUCCGCUCGUGCGGAGCGACGCGGGCGUCCCUUAUGGGUGUCCCCAACCUAGCUUUAUGUGCUUCCUCGACUAUUCAGUUGCAUGAAUACUGGCACGUACCGGUAUGGCUAAGACUUUAAUAUCAGGCUGCAGAUGGGAGUGGGAUUAAGUGGGACUGCCCAGUCGAUCCCAUUUAAUUUGCUUUAAUGGGAUCCCAUUGGACAAAAACAAAUUUAAGUAGGCUAGCCCUAUCAAUCCAUUGGGAGCCCAGCUCACCCACCAGCCCUUGCUCCUCGGGGCAUCAUCGCAAGGGAGCCAGCCAUGAGGAGAUGCCAUCGAACGAGUUGAGCGCAAGAUACUGCUGCAGGGCUGCAGGCCGGCAUCCUGCCAACGGCCGCACCCACACUUCAACCGUGCACGCGGGGAUGACCGCCGCAGCCGCCGCCUGCAGCUGGGCGACGAGGCACGAUUUCUCCUCAUGUUCCCCGGUAGUCAGAGCUCACCGUCCCCCGCGCUGGUCUACUCCAUCGGACCUGAACCUGACGCGCCCCGCGCCAUCGCACCAGACGAGGUCAUCUCUUGUCGCACACCCGCGUUGUGUAUUUGCUAAUUAAGUGGGAUCCCCACUUCUGCCCACAUAAUUUGAGUAAGUUGAGUUAUUUCCCAUCAAACGUAUUGGGACUAAGUGGGCUAAAGGUGGGAGUCCCACGAAUAGUCCCACUUGCAGCCUGACUUUAAUAAGUGAAAUCCUGACACUUAUUACUUUUAUGAAUCAGGAAAACAAGUAGUUUUGCUACCAGCCCGUUUAGCUCUAUCAAGACUGAUUUACAUGUACACACUUAGAAACAUCAGCCUUCGGGUAGUUCCGUUCGUCGCCGAUUGAAAAGCUGGCGAGAUGUGUGAAGCUCAAGCUCAUCCUCCGUCUUUUCUACUGCUUUUGGGCACCUUAUGCUUCCGUUCUUAUUUUGCGUGGGGACAGAUGGAUCGAGAGAAGGAAAGCCAGCAUCGCCACUGGGUAGUGUCGGGAACGAGUCACAACAAACGCAAAGUAGGUCAGGUCCCUAUAUUCUUAUAGAUCCUCGAUACGUUUUAUCCACCUUCAGUACCAUUGGUACUUGAAGCUUGUCAACUAAUAUUAUGAUUUAAGAUCCAUGCUUGUAUACCUGGUACAUUUGACCAACCUGUCAUGACACUGUAAACACGUACUAUUGUAGCAAUUUUCAUGAUUAUAUUUAAGCUGAAAAUUAUUGGAUAUGUUGUAAAUUAAAUUUUGGUUAGCGGAAGUACUGUGAUAAUUGAUUCACAGAUAAUUACUACUCCCUCCGUCCCAAAUUAGGUGACUCAACUUUGUACUAAGUUUAGUACAAAGUUGGUAUAAAGUUGAAUCACUUAUCUUGGGACGGAGAGAGUAUAUCUUAUAUGGUACUAGACCACUACCAAUGUCCGAGCACUAUAAAUGACAUUGGUUCAACUCCCUCCGUCCAGGCAUACUUGUCAUCAAAAUAGAUAAAAGAGGAUGUAUCUAGACGUAUUUUAAUUCUACAUACAUCUCUUUUUAUCCAUUUUCCAUUUUGAUGACAAGUAUUUUCGGACAGAGGGAGUACCAUUUUUCAAUAUUCCAAAGGUCACAACAAACAGUACUACACGUAGCACAUUUUUUCGGGCAUCUACCAACGUUCUUCGAAAGCAUGCGUACAUGCCUGUCAGCUUCUUGUUCCUUAUGUUUUGGGAUGGGAAGAUACUAGGAAAAUUGACUUAGUUAUAAGCAUGUAUGUCGAGAUGAACCAGAGAGUACCUCGCACGCCAUACCCGUCUCCCGUGUUGCUAGACAACCAUCCCAUCUCUAGCAAGUAAGGUGCUUCUACAUCGACAUCAACAUAAUCAUCAUGUGUUUUAACUAUGACCUAUUGACGUGACUCUAAUAUUGCAAGUUUGAUAGAAGAAGUGAGCACAAAGCAGGGAGGUCCCACAGAUGAACCAUCUAUUUCUUCCAUGCCACCGAAAUCAAUUGAAAACACAUGGUCAAAGCAAUUGAAUUGUCACAAAGUAGCCACUUUAAUCUAUUCGGAACACAACGGGAAUGUCACUAAGUAUCAUGGUCACUAUCCAGAGUACAGACUGCAAGUAAUCUCUAACUCUCAACUACAAAACUUUCUUGGUCAGUGCCUUUUUACUUUCAUGACGUUAUCAACUUUCCCCUCCCUCCCCGGCCGCUCGCGCGGGCGUCUGCGAAGGUGCACAAACCUAGUCCGCGAGGCCCUCCUCCGGCCUUCCCUUGGCCGAGGCCGCUGCCGGCGCAGGCGGUGGUGGCGGCACCCGGCCAUCAAAGGCGGACGGCGAGGCCAGCGCGCCCCGACGGGCCUGCAACUUGUGAGCUCCAUUGGAAUUUCACCAAAGAGGAGAGAAUGAUGCAAUGUAGUAGAGAUAAGUAUUUCCUUCAGUUAAGAUCCAAGGUUAUCAAUCCAAUAGGAGAACCAUGCAAAACCUCGUUAGUAGCACCUACACACAAAAAAGCAAAUACUUGCACCCAAUGGAAACAAGGGGGUUGUCAAUCCCCUCGGCGGUUAAUUGCAAGGAUAAAAUCUCGUAGUGAUAGAAAGAUAGGUUAAAACACAAAAAAAACGAUAAAUAAAUUGCAGCAACAUAGUUUUGGAUUUUAUAUACUAGUCAUCAACCCGUGCGCCUGCACGGGCUAGGGACUACUCUGCUUCAGAAUUAUUGUGUAAAUUAAAAACAUGAAUUCUUAGUGCUUUAGAGUAUAUAUAAAUGAAUGGCUGUCCAAAACGGGGGGAACCUCUUCAUCAAUUCUACUUUUUGUAUGAGUAUGUUCUCUUGGGCAUCAUUCAGUGCAGAUGUUAAUAUUUAGAAAAAUGAUUAACAAAUUUAAAUAGAAAAGCAUACUUUCAAGAGACUCAAAAACAUGGUCAACAUUCCUAUACCAAUAUCCUAUAUAUGAUGUCGUAGGCUUAAAUCAUUUUCCUUGAUUGUAUUAAUUUUCUGAAAUAAAUAUGCCUCGAUCAGUGACAAUAGUCAUGGUGAGAAUUUGUGAGACAGAGUUUUUUUUCCAUAUUGCAAUGAGAAAAGAAACAAACAAAUUAUAAACUUCCAUAUUUUUUUACUUAACCUAAAAAUCACAACAUAAAAGCAUUUAAGAUUUAUAUUAUAACAACUAUGCAAUAGAAUAGGAAAAAGUAUAUUAAAUUUAAUACAUUUAACGGGUAAACAAAGUGCUUUAUUGUUCAAACGCAAGGUCAGAACACGCAUCGGCAUUACAUUCCAAUACCAUGAAUGUAAAUGUAUAACAUCAAUGAACUAAUCCCUGAAAAGAAGGAAACAAAUGGUACCUACCUACGUAGACAUAUACCAAGCAGUGGUUAGUUCUGAUGGAGCCGCAGAUGAAAAAAUAAUAAUGCACUACAUUAUGCAUGUAGACACGACUGCAGCGCUUGCAACACGUUCGGCUUCCCCUACUCCCAGUUGAAAUCUAUUUUUCAAAAUCCGGCAAGGACUCUACUUUUUUAAAUGCGGCUUCAGGACUUUUUUUGUACCAGCAUGGUUUUUUUUUCCGAGACUGUGGGACGUGUGUACAUUUUUAGCGUGCGCCCUAACUUCUUAUUAGUACAUUUUUUUGUUUUUCAUUUUUCAAGGAGAAAUGACAUAUCAUUUUUAUUUAAUUCAUAACUUGAACAUGGGCUAUUGGGGACUCUUUCUUUUAGGCAUGCCAUUUGUUAGUUGGUUUGUACGCAUGACCUUAGUCCUAUUUGUUUACGUAGUUUCAAGAAAAGAAAAAGUAAUAUUGAUGUACAUGGUCUUUUCUUCCAUGAAUGAGGCAAGACUCUUCUUUUUUAGCGUGAGGCUUGAGGUCUCCUUUCUUAUACGGGCAUGUAUUUUGAUUUUGCAGGAUUGUGGGAACUGGACACUUUUAACGUGGGGCAAAACUUUUUAUUUGUACGUCCUUGUUUCCCAUUCAAGGAAAGAAGUCACGUUUUAUCUUUUCAUUGCUUGAGCGUGGCAGUUGGGGACUCCUUUUUGUAUGCGUGGCAGUCAUGUCUCCUUCCCUUAAUGAUGCAACAUUUUCUAAUAGAUCUUUACCAUUAAUUUUUAAAUCUAACGGCUACAUUAAUUCUGCUGAUGUGGAUUAACGUGGAUGCUCGUAUGGUGCCUCCAAUUAGUAAAUAUAUAUAAGAUAAGAUGAUAAAAGUAGACCCGGAGGCCAAAGUUUUCACUAGAGGCUUCUUCCUCGAACAAAAAAUAUACAGUGGGUAAACAAAUUACAGUUGGGCAAUUGAUAUAAAAGCGCAUAGUCUGCCCUGAUGUGAAGAUUCCCCAAAAUCCAUAUUUGCCAAAGUUUUGCCGCUGCCUCCGCACAAAGCACGGCUGUGUCCACAGGAUUAGAGCAACCGUCACGGUGACAACUGGUGGCACCAUAUGUACGACAAGAAAACUGGUAGAGAAGGGGACGCAUAUCUCCAGAUCCCCUGGAUGGAGGAAUGUCCCAUUUGCUAAUCCCAGAUCGACGGCGGAGCCCCUGCACCGAUACACUUGCACUGGCGGUUGAACGUGGUCGGACUCCGAAAGAAGUACCACCAUCGUGGUGAGUAGCAAAAGUUCCGGAUGUGCGCUGGGGGGAGGCACCCAGACCACUAUUGGCAGCUACAGGACGGAAGGGGCAACCCGACGGGCGGAGCUCCGAAAAGGCCCUAUCCUGGGCGAGAAUCCAAUCUGGAUACAGAUUCGGCACGAACCGAAUUCGCGGCAGCCUCACUUCUCGCCUGCCCUACCACAUCGCCUCCUGUAUCAGCUUCAUCCACCGGUAACUCGAGCCUCUUUGGCGGCGGCAAAGGAAGAUCAGGCAGCGCAACUGGGGGAUGCUUGGGACUGAAUCUUGGGGAGGAUGUAGGAAAGCAAUGGGAAGUGGUGGGAGAGCAAUUGAGAGGAGAGUGAGAGCUAAGAACCCCUUUCCCACUAGGGAUUUUGUCUUCCAUUGUGGCAGAGAUGGCAGGAGUAGUGCAGCUGUGAGAAAUAAGAGUAGCAGACUGAGCGAGAAGACUGGACAAAUUUGGGGGAUAAGUAGGAUUUGCAGGUUCAUGCAGGCGACUGGUAUCCAGGGUUGAAGACGGAGGGAUAACUGGAGUCGGCUGAAUGAGAAGACCAGAUUGACCCUGCUGCAACUGAUUGGGUUGAGAAAACNNNNNNNNNNNNNNNNNNNNNNNNNNNNNNNNNNNNNNNNNNNNNNNNNNNNNNNNNNNNNNNNNNNNNNNNNNNNNNNNNNNNNNNNNNNNNNNNNNNNNNNNNNNNNNNNNNNNNNNNNNNNNNNNNNNNNNNNNNNNNNNNNNNNNNNNNNNNNNNNNNNNNNNNNNNNNNNNNNNNNNNNNNNNNNNNNNNNNNNNNNNNNNNNNNNNNNNNNNNNNNNNNNNNNNNNNNNNNNNNNNNNNNNNNNNNNNNNNNNNNNNNNNNNNNNNNNNNNNNNNNNNNNNNNNNNNNNNNNNNNNNNNNNNNNCCCCGGCUGAGCCGGGACAGACAGAGAGGUAGACAGAUAAGUUGGGUCGACAGACAAUUGAAUUGCUCUGCUACCCGCGUUAUUGCACCGCCCUUGCACUAUUCCUGAAUUAACUGCAUUGCACCACCCUUGCUCUUCUUCCAAAUUAACUGUAGUGGUUGGUAGUAAAAUAACUUGUCCUGGAGCAGCAUCAGCACCGCUUUGACCAUGAACAGUAACCUGAACAAGCUGAGAGGGAGGGGUUCCUAUCUGAACUUGUUGCUGGAUUGAAUCUUUGGAUGAGCCCUCCUGUUGCAUCAACUGAAUUUGCUUGUUAAUUUUGCUCAGUGAUAACUCUUUGGGAACAGCUGAUUGACGCCCUUCAUCAUCUGGCACCUUCGAUUUUCCUUUUGAACUUUCUGUGGACUGUUUUUUUGAAUCUGAUUAACUGCGGGUUCAGAAAGGUUGAGAAAGAAGCUUCAACCGGUCUUUGUGUCUUGCUCCCCGACCCAGGCAUGACACAUUUAGUAAACAGGACAGCCAAUGGCACGUUUGAGCGACAUGUUUUUCGGCCUGCCAUGUUGUUUUUGUGCCAUUUUGGUCCUAUUGGGCAGUUUUAGGCCAUAUGUAUAUAAUAUAAAAAGUAAAUAAACAAGACGUGUCGUGUCAGCCCACGUGCCCAGCCUCACGACCUAGGCACAACCCCUAGUGUGCCGCCUGAGAGCAUAGAUUGUUCCACUCCAUGUCAUGCUGGCAUGCUAACAGACCGAGCUGGCUUCCACAGGUGGAGUAAUUCAAAGAUGCCUUCGUGUUAAAUCUGUACUUCUAUAUCUAUACGUAAAUAAACGUAAUAAUAAAGGGAAGAAGUUUUCUUAGUUCUCCUCCCAUUACCCUUUUACUCAUAGUUCUCCUUCCGUCACCCUUUUAUAUUCCUUAAUUUUGUGUUAACUACAAAGAUUAACGACUAAGAUUUAUAAGAAUAGUGAAAGGCAGCGUGCUUUCUUGGUUCUCCUUCCGUCCAAAAUUUCUGAGCGUCCUACAGUCCAAAUAUUUUUAUUCGUCAUACCUUCUCCACACCAUGCACAUUUCUCGUCAAGCAAGUCACUCGAUUUCUUUGGAUCCCUUACAGCCCCAGACUGGUUGGCAUUUUAUUCUUUCAAAACUUGCCUCGCUGAUCUCCCGUCCAUACGGCGACAUUACCAAAAGACACCGAAAACAAAGACAGUGUGGGGCUUUAGCGGCAACCGAGGUAGCCGCAGCCGAUGGGGCAGCUUGCCCUGCUGCCGAAUGCCCUUCGUGCACCCUUGAUGACCUGCAAUUGGGACUGCAUGCACGGCUGCAUGUCCCCUUUCCAACAUUCUCACCAGCACGCCCAUAUCUCCCCAUCGACCCUCCAUUGGUGAAAUCUUAAACGCACACGAGUAUUGCCAGGUAGAUGUGGACCCAGAUGCGUGCUCACCAGUCCUAGCCCUGCCCUCGAAUGCGGGCGCAUAGGAGGGCGAGAUGAAGAACUGCACGCCAAUGUCGGUCAGGGGAGAGGUGGUCUAGGUGGAGAAUGACAUGCCGGCCAAGGGAGCCCAGAAUGAGACGCCAUACUUCAUGCCUGCUUCCUCCUCGGCCUCAACCUCGGACAUGCUCACUUGAACCGUCUCGGUAUGUCCCCUACAGUAGCGCCAUGGCAGGAUGGGUUGCAGUGAUAGUGCUCAGCACCGGCCUUGCUAUCCACAAACCACAACUUAAUGAUCAAUCCCCGUCUCAGUCCAAGGUGGUACCCCCUUCUCAUGUCAUCAUCACGUACUUUAACUGACAAUGUAAAUUAGGAUUGUUUCGUAAAAUGAUUUGGUAGUCUCAAGCUCUCCCUCUUAUUUAUUCCUGCCAGAAAUCGGAGAGGUAAUGCAAAAUUGUUGAAGAAAAAGCAAGAUAGAAGAAGAGAAACCCAUGGAAACUAUAACUGAAAAAGUACAUACUAACGGUAGUAACAGGACUAAGUCACCGAGAAUUGUAUUUUAUUAUUUGAGAUCUAUUUAUCUAGUGGCUGACUACGAAUUUCUUAGAAACUAUACUUCACGUCAUGACCUUCCUGGAGGUGUCAUCACGGGCCUUGGCCUUGUUUGGGAGUGCAGAGGAACUGCAGGUGGAGGGGAUGUGACCAGUGGCAGCAGGUGGUGUUCGCGAAGGAGGUGCGACAUUGGAUCUAACACGUCGACAACGGUGAGUCCCAGCUGCAUGGAGCAGCGUGGUCUCGCUGCUGGGCAUGUGUAGAUGGACGAGCGCAGGAUGGCGGCGUUAUUUGGCGUUGUGGUGGCGUCGACGAUAGCUAGACCGGGCAAGGUUGAUGCGUUAGUACAGCUCUGAGAUGGAUUAGUGGUAGUUGGUGGCGGCGGCCUUUGAGUGUGCGUCGGACCGGUGGGUGUCCCAUACCGCCAGGUGGCUUGGUUGGGGCCUUAGGUCUUAGAUGUUAGGUUUGGCUGCGAGGUCUGUUUGGUAUUAGACCCAGACUAUCUCAUCCCUUCAUCAACUGGAUAGGAGUAGCAACAGUUAUUGUCUAGCCGGUGGUUUCAGUCUUACUGUUGUGUUACUUUGUAAGGUCUUUUGUGAAUAAUUAAUAAAGUGGCAGAGGCUGGGGGUCUUCCUCCUUUGAAAAAAAGAUAGUAUACUCCAUUCACUUGAUGAUGUCAAUACGUGUGUGCUUCUAGUAGCUGCCACUUUGUUCGGUUCUUGUGUAUUUUUAGAAUAUACGCUAUUUACUUCUCCUUUUUGUUCAGAUAGUUGUUGAAAUAAUAUACAGAAAACAUUAAUAUUAUGUUAUGAAAGUAUUUUUUCUAUUUGCUCAAAGUAUUUAUUGUACAUUUUCACAAUUGUUAAUCUCUCUGCGCAAACUAUGUGCAUCGUUAGACUUAAUAGGAAAAGGAAACUCAUUUAACCAAAAGAUCAGAAUGUUCUAUAUUGAUCCCCUGGAACUACAUUGAAAAUUCAUAUAAUUUGAAUUCAUAUGCUUUUCAUAUGUUCUGCCUCAUUUGACACAUAUGAGAUAGAAAUGUUUGCAUAUUCAAAUACAAAAACACAAUUGCUCACUCGGUCACCUAAUAUAAUACUUCUAUUGCCGUUUAUAUCAUGCAAAAGAAGGUGACCUAUUUCUGGGAGAACCUCUCGCUACUGUUUGUAUGUACUUGGUUGCUGCUCUAAUGCUUCAUGGUGGACAGUCUGCCCCUAACCUCUGUCAUAAUGCAAAUCAAGAGACUCCAUGGGCUUCAGUCAUCUAUAUUUCUCGGACUCAAAAUGAUAUUGUAGAUAUUAUAUCCAAGACUUCAGAGUUCCUAUUGAUUGGACACAUGCAUGUAAUAGCUUGCUUUGCAACCCCGCCCACUGUCAUCGUAGCAACAAAUUCUGAGGCGUCAAGCUUCAACCCAGAUAGUAAAUUAGUCAAAAUCCAAUAAACUCGUAAUGUAAAUGUUUCAAUAAAUCAAAGAAUGUUUUUUGAGUUUUUCUUUUAAUGAAAAUACCAGAUCUAAACUUAAAUUAUAUUUUUGCAGUGUUCACACAUACUGACACAUGGUGUCUAUGUCUGAAUUCUCUGAUGGACAUAGACCAAUGUGUGUACUUCAGUAGAUUGGUUGUCAAGAUCCAGCGGCGCGGUAAAGCUCGUUUUCACUUCUAGUAUUAUUGAAAUGUUGAAGCCUUGAACCAAGUAAAGAAGCAUGACAUCUCCUGGAAUAUCAUGAAAAUGCUCUCUUUUAUAAAAGGCAUGGCCUCACGCCACCAGCCGUAGAGCUGUAACCAAGAGCAAGAAUCACCGAUUUCGGCUGAGCAAUAGCUCAUAAUGCACAAGAGAGUGGAGUGCCUCCCGAAGAGCUGGAUGACCUUUCCAGUGAAUGUCAUGGGCCUGUCGUAUUGGAAGCCAUGGUGGCCUACCUAGUGCUACUAGGAGGCAUGCCUACUAUAUUAUGUAGAGAAUAUAAGAAUAGAUUAGGUUGUGAGAUUCGUCCAGCAAUGGUUGCUUCUCUCCUGAUGUCUCCAAUUCCCUUGUGUUCCCGAUAAAUCUCAUAUUACUACCAAUCCGAUGUGUUAUCAUCAUGAAUAAAAGUACUAUGGUAACAAGGUGUUUCCUUAUGGGAUGGAAGCAGCUGGAUUCUUGGUCUUUGUACACGAGUUUGGACUUUCGUGCCAUGUAGUAGUUUUUGAUAAUUUUUUGCCUUGAGGAAAAAAGAGUGGUUUAUGCUAGGUGCUACGAGGAACGUUGUACCGAACAAAGUCACGAUUUAUGUAGCCGGACCAAGCAAGGAGACAACAAGGAGGGGACAUGUACUUCUGAUAUAUCACAUGUUUGGAAGAUUGCCAUUGCCCAUUGCCCAUAUUAAUUAGAUUUUACGACCCGUUCAUCUGGUGGGACGGCAUUAUAACGGUGUAGAUCCGAUCAUAAAAUCCUCAGCCAGAAAAAAGACAUUUUCUAUACAGAAAAAAAUCCAAUAUCAAUUGUACCUAAACCUCACGUCCUUUCUCGGUUGUAAAAACUAAAGAACAAAAAUCCAGUCUCAACUGUACCUAAAAGCUUCACGUCAUCCUCAACAAAAUAAAAACUUCACGUCCUUCCACCAAAAAAAGAAAAAAAAUCUAAUCUCAAUUGUACCCAAAAAAGCCUCACGUCGUUCCACCGAAAAAAACUUAACAUACUCCACAACCUCUUCCAAAACUAAAUCAGAGUCCCGAUCUACUUUCCCUAGCCUCCACAAUGUACUACUCAAGGAAUCUCCUCAGCCUAAACCCUGAUCGAGAGCUCUUGGUCGAGGUCUCCAACGCCCCUUCAUAUGUUGUCGCCUCCUGCCGCAGUCUGGCUACUUUCUGUGGGUGCCAUUAGUCUCUCUCUCUCUCUCUCUCUCUCUCUCUCUCUCUCUCUCUCUCUCCCUCUCUCUCUCCCUCUCCCUCUUCCUCUCCCUGUGACAAUCUUGAGAAAAGCGAGAUUUGAAUGUAGUUGAUGAACGUCCUCUACUGAUUAUAUAAUUGGGUGCCUCCACAGGUUAUACAAAAUUGGUCGAUGUAGUGCAAUCCAGGACCGACCACUAUACAGUGAUCUUUUAAACAUCACCCAACCCAAUCUUUUGAUUAGGUAAAUAUAAUGUGUUGUCUGUCUACAGUGUGGCAGUUCUAACAUUGUUUAGCCUAUCCAUCCAUGGUGCAUAUGGGAAGCUCUUCUUGGCUGCGGCACCGUCGAGGCCGAGGGGCGGUGAUAAGCUCACCAUUAAGAAAAUUGGUCUGGUGAUGGAUUAAGCGUGUGGAGAAACUUUUGAUCUGAGGUAGUAUAAUAUUUUCUUAUUUACUUAUAGUGUCUUUUUAACAUGCACCUCUACAAGCUAUUUGUCUGCAGAUAGCGUUCAUCUAAGGAAGAUUGUGGUUCAAUAAAUAAUUAACUAAGCAAGACAAACAACUCCCAGGUGUUAGUAGGCCCUUGAUUGUAUGGACCUAUCAAUGCACAAUUAUUCAAUCGAGCCCAUGAAGUUGUCCAUCGAGGGACUACCGAUUCCCAUGGUAUGAGCAAAAAAGAAGUUAUCUUGCAGUCUAGUUUGUUUUUCUGACGUCUUAUACUUGAACUGUGCUUCUGAGGUUCUAUCCUAUAUGUGCAUCCAGUUUCUCAUGUUCUAUGUUGGGCCUGAUUUAAUGUGUUCUCAUGUUCUAUCUUUUAUUCAGGUUCGAAGCAUAAUAUGCAAUUGAAUUUAGUUUCUCCAGGGAUUCUAAUUUUAAUCAUGUAUGUUUUCAAUUUCGUUGAAGGAUGACCAGCGGAUUAUUUCGCAGGCUAGCACCGUUAUUGGGCACAAGUUAUUAUCAGCAAGGCUGAAAAUGCUCAUAUUCCAUGCAAUAGAUUUUUCACACAGGAAGAAUUUUUAACCUUAUCCACAAAAUCCAACAGAUCACAAAAUUAGAGGGAUUGUAAUUAGAGACUGGCUUUUCUACUCCCGGGUGUAGGUACCCCCCUUAUCUACACCAUUCAUAGCAGGUUCUAUUUUCUCGAGAUCCCAACCUUGGCCUGCUAGCCCGGUGUGAUUUGAAUAACAUGUUAAAGUAACCUGACAUAAAACAGUAACCUGCUCACGCUCUGUACCAUCUUCUGUCUCCCUCCCAGUUUUCUCUCUUAAAAAAUGCAUGCACUCUCUCCUUCUCUUUUCUCCCUCACUAACUCCCGCUUUCUCUCUCUCACUCUGUAACGGUGUAACCCUCUAUCAUACUGAGCUCUUUUCUAUCUGUAUAUACUCCCGCUCUCUCUUUCUCUCUCUAACCCUCUCUUGCACAACUCUUUUCUCUCCCUAUCUUCAUCACUCUCUCUAACCCUCUCUCUCUUGCGUGUUCUCUCUCUAGUCAUUUCUUCCAUUUCACACACGCUUCAAUCUUCUCUCUCCUUCCCCAUUUCUGCCCUUUCUCACAGCUCCUCUCUCACUCGUCCCGAUGCAAGCAUUGGAGGUUGUGUGAGGCAGCUUUCCACAUGUGGUAAGAGUUGAAAAACAGCUCACGUGGUAACAGUAGCAUGUCCUGCCAAAAGUUGACAGGAACCAGACUAGGACCUACGAUGUUCCACGUGACAUUAACGUGGGAUAAAUGCUCGAUUUGAGCUGAUGGCUACUGCAAAUACUCUGUGGUGUGCCAGUCACUUUUAUGAAUCUUGAUGAAACUCAAUGGCUCAGAUAAAGGGUGUGAGCACACCCGCGUGCAGCCACACCUUUCCGAAAGUAAAUACUCCACCAACCUUCACUUUUGUUAGUAAUGCUUGUGUUAUAUAUAAGUCCAUAUUCACACCAACAUAUAGCAAGGUCCUAUAGUUCAUAUACACAUUGAUACUUAUUCUUCCUUCUGUUUGACAUGAUAGAGUGCAAAUAAAUAGAGAACAACAACCGGAGAAAAGCGUCGAGAGAUGAUCGUUGAAUCGGGUCCACAAAUAUUUGGGAAUCAGAUGCAUCAGGAGCAAAGCAGUUUGUACUCGGCGAAUUCAGUAGCCUGCCAAUGUAUUCACACUCUCUACAAAAUCCAAGAAACAUGGUACAUGUUAGUAAUGAGUUGUCGUCAGCGAAAGAUGGCUCAGCCAGACAGAUUUAUCCUGUCUCUUUUGGGGAAACUGUUGUGCAUUGAUUUCGCUUCAGGAGAUGAACUCAUGGGCGAAAACCUACUCAAUUCGAAAAUAAGAGUUGAAUGAAAAUUGUGACUGACAUUUACCCACUUAGCUAGUUCGAUCUUAAGGCUAACUUGACCAACCUUUCUACAUAGCCCAAUGUCGAUGGCCUUUGGCCCUCGGCGUACCUGCUGAUUCCGGCAGUGAUUCUUUGGCAGAAUACCUCUCCAUCUGUAUGUUUUUGUUUCUAAGCAAUGAGGAGUCUUGUAAUACCGGGUCAGUGCCCUAAUAAGUUGAUUCUGUUAUCCGAUGGCUAAUGGAGAUGGCUGCUGUGCGGUCCAAAGUCCAAACCAAGCCAAUUAGUGCUGCCGACUAAGACUUUGAUGCAGUAUGCAACGAGAUUGGAGUUUAUCUGUGGAGCAGGCGAUAUGUGCGUGAAAGAAACGUGUCCACUUCUUUCGGGACUGGGCGCAUCUUGUUUUGGAUUUGCUUUCUCUGAACAUCUCUAUAACAUGUCAAACAUAAAGCCACAGUGCCUGUAAACUCUUUCCUCAAAGUGUGGACACAAAAGCUUAUCCACAUAUUCACCACGAUUUGAGUCUGUUGCUUCCAUAUGAAUGUGAUCAAAUCAAAAGAAAAUAAGAGUUUGGUCAGACUUAUAUGUUGGGAAUAAGCCACGGCAGGACGCGUCCAAAGUGUGUUCGUCCGCGAGCUGUGUGCGUCGGGUUUGGUGGCCGCGUCGAGUCAUAGUCUGGGCAUAGUCUUACUUGUGUCCAGGCAUGAUCUGACCUAUUUAUGGCCUGUGUGCGUGUGUGUGGUCAAUCUGUUGGCGAGCGAGGGGGGCGUGAUGAGCGGGGUUUGUUGCGGGCUCACUGCGGGCUGGACGUGUUCGUGCAUGUCAUGGGUGUGGGUAGAGCGGGCAGGACCUAGUGCUCCACGUAGGGGAGAGGUGCGUGCUCUGUAGUCUCUCCGGUAUAAAGACCCCGUGUGCGUUGUAACAGAUGGGUGUCUUUGAGUUUGUUAGACUUCGUAUUGUAGCCUUAUUGUGUAAUCCAUGCCAUACUAGUAUAGAACUUGUAUGACAUCAUUAUAUAUAUAUGUAAUCCAUACCAAGCGUUUGGGGCACCUAGGUGCCCAAGCACCUUGCCUAGGAGCCGUUGGAUUGCAUCGUAAUUUUAUUGCUGCGACCAAUAUAUGAGUUAUUGGACUUUACCCGUUAACUAAUGAGGUUAUAUUUUCCAUUUAUACCUCUGUCGAAAAUUACUUUCUAUAUUUUUUGCAUGGCUGUAAUGCGUGUCAAUUAGGGACAUUCCAAAAAAGUUAUGUGUGUUAAUGGAUUACCUCCAUUGAUGUCUGCAUGGGGUGGCUUAUAUGGAAAUAUAGUCAAAUCUGAUUAUUAAUGUGUGUCAUUAAUUAUCUAUUCAUGAGAUCCAGUAAUAAAUAACCUUCCUUACAUAUUCCCAUGUAUGCUAGGCACUAGGCAGAGCCGUUGAUUAAUUAGGGAAAAAUACUAUGUAGGGAUUGUUAUAUGUAUGUGCUCGUUAGAUAUAUUUUUUGCAUCGAAUGUACUCGUUAGAUUUGUGUUUAUGUUACUAGGUAAGUGCCCGUGCGUUGCAACGGGAGACAGGAGAUGGAAAUUUUUCAUGUUUGCAAUAUGGCAGGGUGGGUUAAAGUAACUAAUACUAAUAUUGUAAUUUUUACAUCAAUAUUUAGUAGGUCCAUGCAUUUGCACUUGCCUCAAUCCAACGCCCUAGAAGAAGAGCAGAACCGCCGCGCUUGCACUCCAUUUUUAUUUUCAUUUAUUAACAAGAAGAAUCCUCAACUUGUUGUUAACUUGUUUUCAUGCCGAAUGAAAUUUCUUAUAUUUUCUGUCGAUCUAAAUGUUCCAUGCAUUCCGUUUCAUUCCAUCUAUAACAAAACUGUUUGGGACAGAAUUCUUCAAUUGCAUCAAUGUAAGUAUGAUACAUUGAUGAAUGGACAUAGUAGUCCAAAGGAAUCUGUAGUCCCCACUUCACAAAACAAUAAGAAUCGGGUGGGAGAAAAGAAUGGUAUACUACUAAUAAUUCCCCGAGGGACUGAGAGCUAAUUCAGGACUUACGAACAAAUGUAACACGAUAUUGUAGGGGCAGGCGACUCCUCUAACUUAGCUUUUGCUAGGUAAGGAGCAUAAUUUAGCCGAUAUCCACCACACAGAACACAUCUAAUGGCUCUCAAUUUGCUCAGUAUACUACUUUGUACAAUUAAAAGGCCUAUAGACGUUUUAAAAUAAAAGAGUAUAAUGCUCACCAAAGCUCCAUGAUUGGAAAAUAUCUUCAGCACAUAUGAUUAUAAUGGUCUCCAGAACUUCGUUGGAGACAUGCAUGUAUGACACUUGUUGAUUCUACAAAGGAGAAAGCUGUACCUGUGUGGGCCGGAACUUUGGCACAUAUUUUUGUGAACUUCUUCUGUUCCUGGUUGAUUUCGGUUCAUCAAUGUAAAAGAGCCAACCAUGCUAUUUUGUGAAUUGCAGCUGAAUGUAAAACAAUCAGACCUACAAUUUUGAGAAUUGUGCAAGCUAUUUCCUUUCUUCUUACGUUCAAAAAAAGUCAAAACAUAUAGGAAGUAGUACGCUCCUUAGUGGUAGGAGGAAGUAGUUAUAUAGGGUAUAUGUCUCCCUUUACAAUCACAAUUACAUAUAGGAAGGAUCGCAUCAGCCUCCAAUUCUCUUGUUAGUUAGUAGUUUGUUUAUUGAGUAACAAUGUAGCAGCAGUUAUGCAUCUGUGCAUACACAAAGAAUGGAAAUCCCGAUCAUAGCCAAAAGGAAUAGAAGAGAAACCAAUUUGUCCCAUCCUUGUUGCAUGUUGGGUAAGCUCCAAAUCUAUCUAGCAGAUGAAAAAGGAAAGGAAUUUGAGCACAAAAUACCAGCGGUCUUGUUGAGUAAUCCUCAAAUCUCUAGCCGAUCUUGAGCGUUGCUGUUUAGGACCUGGUCGCCGCCGUGGCCAUGGAGCGGCGCCCCGUCUCAACUUCGUGGUGAUCCUUCUUCUCCGCCGCAACCCCUGUGGCCUUCUGCUCGUCCUUUGCUGUCGGAUGCGGGCUUCAGGUCGUCCUGGAUGCGCAUCGAUCAGGAACGACUGAAAGAACGAGCGGGUUCAUGUUGGAUGAUGAUGAAGAUGGUGCUGAGUAUGAGAACGACCGGAAGUGUGCAGCCUGCGCGUGGUCAUCGUCGUCCCAUACGCGAGUUUGGCAUCCAGGAGUGCGGCAUCGACGGAGGACGACACGAAGGAGAUAGCAAAGCCUGAGCCGGUGGCUAGGGUUAGCUGUGGGGGUGCGUGCAAGGGCAGAAGGGCAAUGAGAUUCAGCGUCGAGACCAUGGCUGGGUCCCACCGGUGGAUAGCGGCACGGAAGAUGGCCUGCGUUGACCGGAAUCGGAGCCGCGGGCGGCGGCGGCGGCGGUGAUUUGGAGCGGAGGGAGAGAGACACCGGGAGUUAAGAUGUGUGCAUGGCCGCCUGGGUCUGAUAUAAUUAUGUCUAAACCGGUAGAAAAUAAACCGGAAACAUGAGGGAGGUGGGAAAAAAAUCGGUGGGAGAGGCAAACGAAGGAGGCCGACGAAGCUGGGCAUCGCACGACGACGUAAGAGGGGAAACGGAACGCUCCGUUUCUUUUAGGUAGUAGAGAUACCUGAAAUAUUUAUGGAUAUACAAGUACUCAAUAUAUUUUUGGGUAUUUGCACACUCAACAUAUUUCUUUACAACUACACACCCUAGAGUCAAAUUUAUGAGUACAUACCCUAAUAAUACGUUUUUUACAUUAGAUAUGUAGGGAUCCUUUUACUAAGUACGUACUCGUUAGAUUUGUGUGCAUAUUAUACCUGAAAUAUAUAUGGUUAUGUGAGUACUAAAUAUAUUUUCAGGUAUAUGCAUACAUCAUAUUUCUUUACAACUACAUACCCCGGAUUGAAAAUUAUGAAUACAUACCCUAAUAAUAUGUAGGUAUUAGUAAGAAAUUUUAGCAUUAGGUACGUAGGGGUUGGACCCGAUCAAGGUGCCCAGGCACCUAGGUGUCCAAUAUAGGGUCGCGCUAUUCGUCACCCUGGGUGAUGAAUUAUUAUUCCUCACCCCAGCCAAACCAUGCAGGGUGCGUACCCGUAAGGAACAAAGGCUUGAGAUUUAAUUUACUGUGCACAAUGAGGAUUACGGGCGCAGAGUACAACCUGUACAAGAGUGUUGCACGGCCAGACCAUCGUAAGAUACGAAGUCUUGCAACGUAAAAUUACAACACCCAUGCCUCCGUAGAGACAAGCAACCAACCUAGCCGCACCAAAAGCACCACCGUAAGAAACAAAUCAUAAAAUUACAACAUGCAUGCCUCCGUAGUUCACAUAUUUUAACAGAUAUAAAACAAACGGUUGAAACAUCAGUGACGGUGCAUUUUUUUCUAGAAGAAAUUUUCUAUCUCCUGUUUGUAGUUGUCUCCAUAAUUAUUUGUUUUGUUUCUAGUUUUUGCUUUCUUGGAACACAUCUCUGUUUCUUGCUUGAUACUGCUACCUUCUCUUGUUUCUACAUGUGAUGAUGCGGUAGCUCUAGCACCAGGUCUCACUCGCGCUCAACCCACGGAGAACGGGGGCUUCGACCUGGGCAUCACUUCUCUUUAUCUCUGGACGGAAAUAACACUACUCAGCUGUAGAGUGGCCACCACGAUUUGAUCAGAUCACAUCAAACCGUUUACUUGCAGAAUGGAAGGGCAAGAAGCUGCAUCGGGAGAUAGACUACAGUAUAUAUAUAUGGACGACCCACGUCUAUACAUGCCUACAACUCAUCAGAUAAAGUAGACAAAAUGCAGAACUACCAUUUAUUUUCAUUGCUACAGUGAAGAGAUUAGCCUACACCCUUUUUCGUAAGUACAACAGUCUUUUGGAUAUCAAAAGAUGUAAUUAAUAACUUCGGCAAAUUUCUGCCAUUUCAUCAGCUCCAGACAGCAGGAUGUAGACCAACUUGAGUCCAGCCACGUUUCAUCUGCAUGCAAAGUUAGAAACUCAAUUAGAUGAGCAAACUUACACCUUGUGCUAAAUGAAACAAAAUAAGUAGUUAGCAAAAUCCGAUAUCACUAACAAGUAAAGUAAACUUGUACUGGAUUCACAAAUAUCUUUAGACUCCUACAGUGCAACAACGGAAAAAACUAGGCACUGUCAAUAGACAGUGCAAGACAGACAAACAUGAGGAUCUUCUUGGGAGCAAGUCAAUAACUAAACCAGUUAGAUCUUGUUAGCUUGCUUGAAAGAUGGUCUGACAACAUCUCUGAAACACCGAGAGAAAUUAUGUUUUCAUAGCCAAAGAUAUAUUUAAGUCUUGAGCCACAUAGUAUGAUCGUGCGAUUCGAUGGAUCCUGCAACAAAUUAAGCAUAACAAGUAAGAAUGUAAAUGAGGUACUUUACAGAAGUUAUAUUUACAUAGGAUCGGUAAGUAGAACAACUAGAUGGUUGCAGAAGGAGCUUUAUGUUGUGUACAUACAAGAAUAGACCCUAGAAAGUGGUUUCAUUAUGGGAGCUCCAGUUUUAGUUAGAAAAGGACAUAAUAAUAGUAUAGGGCCUCUUCCUGAACAACCAAAUAAAAAAUAUGCCUGCUAGAGCCUAGAAUACGUAGUAACUAAUACCUAGAAAUCAAGAUGCAUCGACAUACAUAACUGAAUAUUCACCCAUGAAACAUCUCCAUGAUCCACAUAAAGAACAAGGAAGAUGACAUGGUGAGCAGGGUUGUCGGGAUGCACUAUUUGACACCAUAAGUAAAGAAGCGUACAAUCUGAGAGGCACAAAUAAUUUCAUCAACAUAUUGCAUGUUGAUUUAUCAUUCGCAAUGUCAAGCAAACAGGGAGAGAAACUAUUAGGUGUGAAACUCUAAUUUUCCAGUCAAGCCUUUUCCAAAAAUACUCCUACUUAACAUUCUUGGGAGACCAAAGUCAUGAUGAACAUUUUCCAAAAAUUCAAGGAAACUAACAAAGAAUAAUUACCAAAGAAAAAAAUGCAUCAAUCUUCUCCUGAGCAUUGGGGUUAGCCAAUUAUGUUUACAUGUAGAUCUUAUCGGCAAGCAUUUGACACCAAAAAACAGACACAAUAUAAUAUCUCAAAGAAGCACACAAACCUGAAUGUUGUUUGUCAAAUUUGGCUCAGUCCAACUAGGCACUGUAGGAACUAAUAUUUACUUUAGUUAACUGCAGCUUUUCUCACUUCUUUGUCCAACCUGACUAUGCUUUUGUCCAAACCAGAAACAGACCAAAAAUAAUGGAGAUAACAUCUACAGUACAAUCCUACAUUACCAAUACAUCAGUCCCUUGUAUUUCCAAUGCAUAUAGUAGAAGUAAAUAGAACCACAAUGACACACAAGUAGCGACAGAGUACUCAGGACAGUGAUGGAGGCCUUGGCGCAAACCCUCCAGUGUUUAGGAUGAAGCACGUGUAGCAAGGUUCAGAAUGCCCAUGAAUCAAGGACACGGACAAUUCAGUGGCGCCACGCCCGAACGCUAUGGAAAGGUGGGUCGAGGCUGAGCCGAUGGUGGUGCAUGCACAUUGAUGCCUGUACUCGGCCGUAAAAAAAAAAGAGGGGCGUAAGGAGCACACAUACCACGAUGUGUUGCUUGCUGGCCUGGAAGGAGAGCCUCAACUACGAAGUUAGACACUGGACAGGAAUGCGCCGUAGAUGCUUGUUUUAUCGCCAGGCAUCAGCCACUCUGCUUUGGCCGUCAGUCCACAGGUUCUUCCACUAGGCACAUCAUCACACCACCGUCCGAUUCAGCCCAAAUCCAGGGUCCAAACCCUAGUUGGGUGAAAGGGGGAGGUGCAGGGAAGCUAUCGGCUCCGAGAUGAGAGGAGGUAGGCAGGGGUGGCGAGGAGAUGGAGGCGAGGGUGUCCGGCCACGAACGAGGAGAGGGGAGGGUGGGCGAUCACGACGGAGGUAGGUUUGGGGAAUCGAUGCGGACAUGCGGUGGCGAACGGCUCGGCGGAUUGGGCGCUCCCAUACCUCAAGACCACAUAACCGUUUACUAGUCGCAUCGUUGCAUGCCAACGUAAAAUUACAUUAGUUGGGUCAAAAGUUUACAUUGGUAGACAGGUGCGAUGAGGUCGAAGGGAGAGGCUGGCUCGGUCGAUCGACAUGGGUGAGGAAUUACUUAUUCCUNNNNNNNNNNNNNNNNNNNNNNNNNNNNNNNNNNNNNNNNNNNNNNNNNNNNNNNNNNNNNNNNNNNNNNNNNNNNNNNNNNNNNNNNNNNNNNNNNNNNNNNNNNNNNNNNNNNNNNNNNNNNNNNNNNNNNNNNNNNNNNNNNNNNNNNNNNNNNNNNNNNNNNNNNNNNNNNNNNNNNNNNNNNNNNNNNNNNNNNNNNNNNNNNNNNNNNNNNNNNNNNNNNNNNNNNNNNNNNNNNNNNNNNNNNNNNNNNNNNNNNNNNNNNNNNNNNNNNNNNNNNNNNNNNNNNNNNNNNNNNNNNNNNNNNNNNNNNNNNNNNNNNNNNNNNNNNNNNNNNNGGGUGUGUGUGUGUGUGUUUGUGUGCGUGCGUGCGUGCGUGUGUCAGGGCCGGUCCUGAGAUUUUGAGGGUCCGGGGCGAGACUAAAAUUUGAGGCCCUUAAUAUAGACAUCAUAACAAUAAAAAUAAAUAUAAGUAUAUAUCAAAUAUUACCAGUAACACUUGAAUGCAUCUAAAAUUAGUAUGCAUAUCAAAUAAUUUAUAAAUAUUACCUUAAACAUUUCUCCUAAUAUUCCUCGACUCAAAGUCACUUAUGAUGUGGUCGAUGUCAAUAUCAUCCAAUAAUUUCUUCUCAAUGCAUAAUAUUGCCAAACCAUUUUACCUGUGCUGGGUCAUUGUUGACCUCAGAUAAUUCUUCAGUAAUUUUAAUUUUGAAAAGCUUCUUUCGACCGAUGUGAUAGCACAUGGACAAUAAAUAAGACAUGAUAUGUAACAAUUAGUUUAUUUCAUUUGGUCAAAAAUCUCCAUAGUAGUUGUUGCAUGAUCUCGCAAAAUGAAUCUCAUAAUAUUCGAUUCGUAAAUAAGAUAAUAUACCUCAACAUCACACGAACCAUCAAGAAAGAAAGUUUUUGCAAACUCGAUACAACACUCUUGAGGUUCAAUGUCAUUCAAUGAUCUCAAGGUGCCCGAACUCAAUAUAAGUCCGAAUAUUUCUUUAAACACCACGAGUUCUUUAAAUCUAUAUCUCAAAGAAGUGAUCGCCAUAUCAAUCCCAAAAGAAUAUUCACCUUGAAAACCCCUCUCAGCUCUCACCUUCUAGGAUUUACUAGGAACCACAAUAAGACUAUAAUACAGGAUAUACCUCUUGUGGUCGAAUCGUUGACGGACGGAAAGAAAAGCGGGGUUGCGACGACGGCCCCCGGGGAAUUGACAUCGGCGGACAACCUGAAUUACAAAGGAAAAUUUGAUUAAGGAGAAAAUGGAGAAGGAGAGCCGAGCCUGCAGUCGCGAAGACUACGCGUUCGCGGCCGCUGGGAAAUUAGGAACCGAGGCAUGAAUGCGUGCGUGAUGGAAGGGAUCAAUCAGUUCCCUUUUUAGAUGUGCAUCACUAGUAGAAAAAGACCUAAUAGUCCCGGUUCGUAAGGGCCUUUAGUCCCGGUUCAUGAACCGGGACUAAUGGGUCGUUACUAAUACCUCCACCCAUUAGUCCCGGUUCAAACACGAACCGGGACCAAUGUUCCUCCACGUGGCCCUGUGCGCCGAGCCCAGUCAGGGGGCCUUUGCUCCCGGUUGGUGGCUCCAACCGGGACCAAAAGGCAUCCACGCGUCAGCAUUCUAGUGGCUGGGGNNNNNNNNNNNNNNNNNNNNNNNNNNNNNNNNNNNNNNNNNNNNNNNNNNNNNNNNNNNNNNNNNNNNNNNNNNNNNNNNNNNNNNNNNNNNNNNNNNNNNNNNNNNNNNNNNNNNNNNNNNNNNNNNNNNNNNNNNNNNNNNNNNNNNNNNNNNNNNNNNNNNNNNNNNNNNNNNNNNNNNNNNNNNNNNNNNNNNNNNNNNNNNNNNNNNNNNNNNNNNNNNNNNNNNNNNNNNNNNNNNNNNNNNNNNGUGCUUGGUCGAUGCUACAUACUAUAUGUACAUAAGUGAUCGAGAGAACCAUUCAGUACAGAAGUUCGUCAUGCAUACCGAGAGAAGUGAUGAUCGACCUCUCCUUCUCCGAGAGAUUGGUCGAACAACAAGUUUUCGUAUAUCAUGUAUCUGACGCUACUGGCUACAUACAUGUACAAUAUGUAUAAGAUCUCUUAAUUAAAAUCCCCUAGCAAUUGAAAUCAAUUUCCACGUGGUAUUCUCCGGCUUUAUUGAUGACGUGGUCAAGAAAAAAUCCCGCCAAUUCCUCUUGAAUUGCUUUCAUGCGAUCUGGUUCUAGGAGUUCAUUCCGCAUCUGCCACGUCUAAUUUGAAGAAGGGGGUUAAUUAAUACAUAUAUAUGAAUGAAACUCAACAGAAAUGAUGGUGUAAUAAAAUGAAAUUGUGAAUAUUAUUGCUUACGCACUUCAUAUUGUCUUUGAGAUUAGCCCCGCUUGUUUUUCAAAGUCGCGUUGUGGAUGAACUCGCGCACGUAGUAUCCACAGAAAUCAUUCCCUUCUUCCUGCCACAAGCACUUUACGAGAAAUAGAGGUCAAUCAAACUGAUAAUGAAGCAUUAUAAAUGGCAUUGAUGAAAGUAUAGCUAUAGAAUCAAUGGGAGAUGCGCGCAACUAGCUAGCCAGUAGUACUUACUUUCGGGUAUGUAUAUCGCAGCUCCUUCGGCAGUCCCGGAGCUUCUGCGGUGAACUGUUUCCAAACCCUGCAAGACAAAGAAAAUAAUUAUUAUUACUUGAGAUAUCAGGAAAUGAACAAAAAGUUGCCGAUAUGGUGCGAUAAUGAUCGAUUGAACUUACUUGCUGAGCAUUUCAGUCAUGUCCGCAUAGGAUUUGGGAUCUUUUCAUCUCGAAUCUAUGACGGUUACUAGUCCACGCUCAAGCUUAAUCUCCAGAAGAAUAUAGUGGUACCUGCGCACGCAUGCAUAACUCAUCAAUUACAUUACUAUAACCUCGCUCGAGUAAUAAGGGAAACCGAAUAUACCACGACAGUAACACUCACUUGCCGUUGUAAGGAAAGAGUAUGGUAUCUUUGUUUUGAUUUUUUAUCAACGAUUGUAGCACGUUGUCCUCGACCUCUUUGAUGUCCUUUUCAACUAGAAAUUCAUCUAUGAUAUUUGUGUUAAUGCACCCAAUAUAAUAAAUUUCUUGUUUUUUGCACUCAACGAUCUUCAAUCUGCAUAAUAUAUUGAGGAUAAUUAAUUAUAAAUACAUGAAAUGAAAGAGCCGAGCUAUAUAUGGAGACUUAAUGACAGAAAUAGUACUUACAGACAGUAGCAAAAGACCAUUAGUUUAUCGAGGGCCUUUUGAUUGAAGAACGUGAAGAACUCAUCAAAUGGAACAGUCAACAGAUCAUUUGUAACGAGGUCGUGCUCCUCUUUAAUAUGCAGAUACAAAGCAUUCGUACCCUCAGAUGUUCUGCAGGUUUCCAUGUACCAAUUAUGGAAUCUUCGCAUCAUUGUUGUCAGAGAUUUUUUCAUCUUUGACGAGAGGCUUCCCGUACUCGUAUCUCUGUUCGUCCACCUACAAGUAAUCAGGAAGUGCAUCGUCAGGCAGGUAAUCUUCAAGAUUGCCAUAACCGGCCACCGUCCCCGGAGCAUUAGACACAUUGAGCGGGGGGCACGAUUCUUGUGCUUGUUUGCCGAGCUGGGCAAUUUUCCCCCCUUUGCUCGUUCUUUUGACCUUUUAGCAUUGACAAUAGUUCCCGACCGCUGGGCUUGGAGAUAUGUCUGUUCAGUAAUGCGCUCAUAGUUGGUUCUCGGCGGAGACUUUGGUGGUUUCCUCAGGGCAUCGAUAGUGCGCUUUGCUUUCACCGGAUCUACCUUCUCCUCCAGAGGUGGAUGUCUCUUUGCUUUCACCCCUUCAAAGAACUCCUUCACGUGGGUCUGCACAACCGUAUCGUUUUCCUCCUCGAACCUCUCGUACGGUAACUUCUCUAGAGGCUUGAGAGAUGGACCGUAUUUGUAUUGCCUCCUGCCUCUGGUUGUGCUGCUAGACGCUGGAGCAGACGGAGCGGUUGUGGCGUCUGUCUUCUUUCGUGCUUGCUUACGAGGCGGACGAGAAGGAGUACGAGGCGCCGGAGCAGCCGGGGCGGCGGCGGGUCUCUUCCGUCCUUGCUGGCGAGGCGGAGAAGGAGGAGGCUGCUGGCUGCUCGGGAGCGCCGGCGCAGGCGGAGAAGGAGGCGGAGUGCUGCCAUGCGCCGGAGAAGGAGGCGGAGUGCCGCCACACGUGCCCUGAUCGUCACUCACCGGAGGAGGAGGCGGUGGAGGAGGCGGAGUGCCCUGACUCGCCGGAGGAGGAGGAGGAGACGAAGGCGUCUAGUUCGGAAGGUUGAUGAGCUCCUUCUUCCAUAGGCAUGGAGUCUUCAGAGCAGAACCCAGCCUAGUCUCCCCUUCACCGGUAGGGUGGUCAAGCACGAGGUCCUCAAAUCCCUCCGUUAUUUCAUCCACCAUCACCUUAGCAUAUCCUUUUGGAAUCGGCUGGUAGUGAUAAGUUGUGCCGGGUCCACUAGGAUAAACUUGACCAACAGCCGCCUUGACCUUCAAAUUCAUCCAUCGCGCCAUAAUGUGGCAAUUUUGAGACUCCGUGAUACCAUCCACGGGAUAGCUGGCAGGAGCCGUCAAGACAUGCUCCGGCUGAAGCAGCUCGGUGGAAGCCACGCUGCUUCGCCGCUGAGAUGGCGGGGUAGCUUCGGGGGAAGCUUCGGCAGGUCGUUUGCUGCGAUCUGCUGCUUUUCGUUCCUCUUCUCGAUCCUCUAGCCCCAUUACCCUUUCGUGCAGCGCCUGCAGUUGGUCCUGCUCCAGUUUCUUCCUCCUCUCGUGGGUUUUGUAACCCACUGCGUCCGGAAAACCAACCUUCCACGGAAUGGAGCCUGGCGUGCCUCGUGUCCGUCCAGUGUGCUCAGGAUUCCGAAGGGCCAUUGUGAGCUCGUCCUUCUCCCUGUUUGGAAGGAACGUCCCUCGCUGCGCUGCAUCGAUAUAGUGUCGAAGGUUCUUCACUGGUAUUUCCAGUUGCUCGUCCGUCCACUGGCAAAACCCUGUUACAGGGUCCAAGGUUCCGCCAGGCCCGAAGAACCAAGUCAGGCAACGGUCUGGCCAUCUCAUUGUCUCUGUUUUGAUCCCUUUUUCAAGCAGAUCAUUCUCAGCCUUGGACCACUUAGGCCGGGCUUGCAGGUAGCCACCUGACCCCGUGCGAUGGUGAAGCUUCUUCUUCGCAGCAUUUUUCUUGUUUGUCUCCGACAUCUUCUUACUCUUUUCCGAUGUCUUGUGGGCCACAAAUGCGGGCCAGUGAUCUUUGAUCUUCUCAUAUUUGUCGAUGAAUUCUGGUGUCUUUUUAUUUUUGACAAACUGGUUCAGCUCUUUCCUCCACCUCCUCGUUAGGGUUGCCAUCUUCUUAAGAGCACAAGACUUGAUUAAUUCCUCUUAAGUGGCUUCUCCGGAUCCUCCUCUGGCGGUAGGGUGAAAUUUGCCUUCAGCUCAGUCCAAAGGUAUUCUUUCUGCAUAUCAUUGACAUAAGACACCUCAGGGUCUUCCUCCUUAGGCUUAUACCAUUGCUGGAUGCUGAUCGGGAUCUUCUCCCUAACAAGAACCCCGCACUGAGCAGAAAAUGCCUUCCUUGUCCGGAUGGGUUCAAUCGGCUCGCCGUCGGGCACGAUUUCUAUUAUCUCAAACUUUUCAUCCGAGCUCAACUUUUUCUUCGGGCCUCGUCUCCUUACCGAAGUUGUGCUCGAUCCGGAGGGCUAGAUAUUAUAAGGAAGAAAGACGAGAGUAUUUAAUAUGUGUACAUAUACCGAAACAAUGGAAGCAUCAACUAACUAGUCAGCACAGGCUUAACUAAUAUAUAUAUACCUGGCCGGGCUCGGUUCGGUCACCGGAGCAGUCAGCACGGUCUCCUUCUUGUACCUCCAUUGUGUCACCGGAGCCAUCAUGAACAUAGUUCUGUUCUUGUACCGGCAUUAAUGGGCCGAAGCCAUCAUGAACAUAGCCCUCUUCUUCACCCAGUUCUUCCAGCUGAGCAACGGUGUCGAGGAGAAAUGACGCAACUUCAUCCCUUCCAUUUGCGAUUAUGUCCCCCAAUAUCGCUUUUGUUUCUUCGUCUCGGCAGUGCUCCAUAGUUUCUGCAAAUAUUUACAACAUGUUAAUUAUUAUUCAAACAUGGUACAGAUGGAUAUAUAUAUAUAUAUAUAUAUAUAUAUAUNNNNNNNNNNNNNNNNNNNNNNNNNNNNNNNNNNNNNNNNNNNNNNNNNNNNNNNNNNNNNNNNNNNNNNNNNNNNNNNNNNNNNNNNNNNNNNNNNNNNNNNNNNNNNNNNNNNNNNNNNNNNNNNNNNNNNNNNNNNNNNNNNNNNNNNNNNNNNNNNNNNNNNNNNNNNNNNNNNNNNNNNNNNNNNNNNNNNNNNNNNNNNNNNNNNNNNNNNNNNNNNNNNNNNNNNNNNNNNNNNNNNNNNNNNNNNNNNNNNNNNNNNNNNNNNNNNNNNNNNNNNNNNNNNNNNNNNNNNNNNNNNNNNNNNNNNNNNNNNNNNNNNNNNNNNNNNNNNNNNNNNNNNNNNNNNNNNNNNNNNNNNNNNNNNNNNNNNNNNNNNNNNNNNNNNNNNNNNNNNNNNNNNNNNNNNNNNNNNNNNNNNNNNNNNNNNNNNNNNNNNNNNNNNNNNNNNNNNNNNNNNNNNNNNNNNNNNNNNNNNNNNNNNNNNNNNNNNNNNNNNNNNNNNNNNNNNNNNNNNNNNNNNNNNNNNNNNNNNNNNNNNNNNNNNNNNNNNNNNNNNNNNNNNNNNNNNNNNNNNNNNNNNNNNNNNNNNNNNNNNNNNNNNNNNNNNNNNNNNNNNNNNNNNNNNNNNNNNNNNNNNNNNNNNNNNNNNNNNNNNNNNNNNNNNNNNNNNNNNNNNNNNNNNNNNNNNNNNNNNNNNNNNNNNNNNNNNNNNNNNNNNNNNNNNNNNNNNNNNNNNNNNNNNNNNNNNNNNNNNNNNNNNNNNNNNNNNNNNNNNNNNNNNNNNNNNNNNNNNNNNNNNNNNNNNNNNNNNNNNNNNNNNNNNNNNNNNNNNNNNNNNNNNNNNNNNNNNNNNNNNNNNNNNNNNNNNNNNNNNNNNNNNNNNNNNNNNNNNNNNNNNNNNNNNNNNNNNNNNNNNNNNNNNNNNNNNNNNNNNNNNNNNNNNNNNNNNNNNNNNNNNNNNNNNNNNNNNNNNNNNNNNNNNNNNNNNNNNNNNNNNNNNNNNNNNNNNNNNNNNNNNNNNNNNNNNNNNNNNNNNNNNNNNNNNNNNNNNNNNNNNNNNNNNNNNNNNNNNNNNNNNNNNNNNNNNNNNNNNNNNNNNNNNNNNNNNNNNNNNNNNNNNNNNNNNNNNNNNNNNNNNNNNNNNNNNNNNNNNNNNNNNNNNNNNNNNNNNNNNNNNNNNNNNNNNNNNNNNNNNNNNNNNNNNNNNNNNNNNNNNNNNNNNNNNGCGCAGGGACAGGGGCGGCGCACGGUGGCCGCGCAGGGGCGCGGGACGGGAGGGGCACGGGAGCAGGCUAUGCUCAUAGGGGGCGGCGGCGACGGCGCAGGCGAGCAGCCUGACGGCGUCGGUGGCGGCGGCGAUGGCAACGUGGAGCAGGGGCGUCGGGCGGCGACGGCGACGAGGAGGAGCAGGGGGCGUCGGGGGAGAAGUGGGCGAUUUGGCCGGAAACUGCUAAGUGUUGCUUAUAUAGCAAACCCUUUAGUCCCGGUUGGUGGCACCAACCAGGACUAAUGCACCCUUUAGUCCCGGUUGGUGCCACCAACCGAGACCAAAGGCCUCUUUUUCGGCAGCCCAAAGGGCGGGAACCGGCGGCCUUUGGUACCGGUUGGUGGCACCAACCGGGACUAAUGCCUCCCCCUUUAGUCCCGGUUGGUGCCACCAACCGGGACCAAAGGCCCCUGUGCUGCCCGCCUCGGGACCAAAGUUUAGUCCCACCUCGCUAGUUGAGAGGGGCGCGUAGUGGUUUAUAAGCCCCACUGCCGCACCCCUCUCGAGCUCCUCUCCACUACAGGCUUUCGGGCCUACUUGCUAUUGCUUUGCCUGAUGGGCCUUCUGGGCCUACUGUGGGCCUGAAUCCUGGCCCAUAGUAGGGUUUCAUGUCGUAUUCAGGCCGUGGGGGCCCAGUAGGAGGCAUUUUUUUGUUUUCUUUACUUAUUGUUGCUAUAUUUAUUUUUUUCCAGUUUUUUGCUUUGUUUUCUGCAUUAUUUAUUUUCUUUUGUUUUUUGCUAUAUUAUUUAGUUUUUGCUUUUAGUUUUAGGAAAAUUAUAAACUUUCUGUUAGUGCCAUUAGUUUUCAAAUUUGAAAACACUUUUUUUGUUUUUUUGUUUUCUUUCUUGCUUUAUUUAUUUUAUUUUGUUUCUACUUACAACAAAAUACUUAUUGUUGUUUUUUUGUUUUGUUUUCUGCAUUAUUUAUUUUCUUUUGUUUUUUGCUUUAUUUUUAAUUGUUUUUGCUUUUAGUUUUAGGAAAAUUAUAAACUUUCUGUUAGUGCCAUUAGUUUUCAAAUUUGAAAACACUUUUUUUGUUUUUUUGUUUUCUUUCUUGCUUUAUUUAUUUUAUUUUGUUUCUACUUAUAACAAAAUACUUAUUCUUGCUAUUUUUAAUUAUUACGAGGGCCGAACCAUAAGACAUUAAAGCAUUUCAAAUGAAUUCUGGAAAAGUUGAAAGUUGGCAUGGUAUCAUAAAUUGACCCACAGAGCAUGUGCAUGUACAAAACGGACAAUGGUAUCAUACUCGUCAGUUACAAAGUUGGCAUGGUAUCAUCAUAAUAGUUGCGGGAAAAAGUCUUCUCUUUUUCUUCGCUUGUGUCAUUUGCUUAUUGCGGCGUAACCAUGGAUAAUUUUCAUCGUUUAUCAGGAUGCUGGGGUCAGCCUUGACUUUGAAGGGAGGAAUUUAGUGAAACUUUUCAUAAUCUUCAGACAUGUCUGUCUUGUCCUCCACUCCCACAAUGUCCCUUUUUCCUGAAAGAACUAUGUGGCGCUUUGGCUCAUCGUAUGAUGUAUUCGCUUCCUUAUCUUUUCUCUUUCUCGGUCUGGUAGACAUGUCCUUCACAUAGAUAACCUGUGCCACAUCAUUGGCUAGGACGAACGGUUCGUCAGUGUACCCAAGAUUUUUCAGAUCCACUGUUGUCAUUCCAUACUGUGGGUCUACCUGUACCCUGCCUCCUGACAGAUUGACCCAUUUGCACUUAAACAAAGGGACCUUAAAAUCAUGUCCGUAGUCAAGUUCUCGUAUGUCCACUAUGUAACCAUAAUAUGUGUCCUUUCCCCUCUCGGUUGUUGCAUCAAAGCGGACACCGCUGUUUUGGUUGGUGCUCUUUUGAUCUUGGUCAAUCGUGUAAAAUGUAUUCCCGUUUAUCUCGUAUCCUUUUCAAAUCAAUAAAGUCAAAGAUGGUCCCCUGGACAACAAGUACAUCUCAUCACAAACAGUGUUGUCACCUCUGAUACGUGCUUCCAACCAACUGCUGAAAGUCCUGAUGUGUUCACAUGUAAUCCAGUCAUCGCACUGCUCCGGGUGUUUCGAGCGUAGACUGUUCUUGUGUUCAUCGACAUACGAGGUCACCAAGGUAGAGUUCUGUAGAACUGUGUAGUGUGCUUGAGACCAAGAAUAUCCGUCCCUGCAUAUUAUUGAGUCCCUUCCAAGCGUGCCUUUUCCAGUCAGUCUCCCCUCAUACCGUGAUUUAGGGAGACCUAUCUUCUUAAGGCCAGGAAUGAAGUCAACACAAAACCCGAUGACAUCCUCUGGCCUAGCGCGGAUUCGGACAUAUUUCUUUAGGACUCCCAUGAACCUCUCAAAGGGGUACAUAUUGUGUAGAAAUACGGGGCCCAGAAUGACAAUCUCGUCAACUAGAUGAACUAGGACGUGCGUCAUGAUAUUGAAGAAGGAUGGUGGGAACACCAGCUCGAAACUGACAAGAUAUUGCACCACAUCACUCCUUAACCUUGGUAUGAUUUCUGGAUCGAUCACCUUCUGAGAGAUUGCAUUAAGGAAUGCACAUAGUUUCACAAUGGCUAAUCGGACGUUUUUCGGUAGAAGCCCCCUCAAUGCAACCGGAAGCAGUUGCGCUCAUAAUCACGUGGAAGUCAUGAGACUUUAGGUUCUGAAACUUUUUCUCUGCCAUAUUUAUUAUUCCUUUUAUAUUAGACGAGAAGCCAGUCGGGACCUUCAUACUAAGAAGGCAUUCAAAGAAGAUUUCCUUCUCUUCUUUGGUAAGAGCAUAGCUGGCAGGACCUUCAUACUGCUUUGGAGGCAUGCCGUCUUUUUCGUGCAAAUGUUGUAGGUCCUCCCGUGCCUCAGCUGUAUCUUUUGUCUUCCCAUACACACCCAAGAAGCCGAGCAGGUUCACGCAAAGGUUCUUCGUCACGUGCAUCACGUCGAUCGAAGAGCGGAACUCUAUGUCUUUCUAGUAGGGUAGGUCCCGAAAUAUAGAUUUCUUCUUCCACAUGGGUGCGUGUCCCCCCAGCGUCACUCGGAACAGCUAGUGUGCCGGGACCCUUUCCAAAGAUUACGUGUAAAUCAUUGACCAUAGCAAGUACGUGAUCAACGGUACACAUGGCGGGCUUCUUCCGGUGAUCUUCCUCGCCUUUGAAAUGCUUGCCUUUCUUUCGACAUUGAUGGUUGGUCGGAAGAAAUCGACGAUGGCCCAGGUACACAUUCUUCCUGCAGCUUGCCAGGUAUAUACUAUCGGUGUCAAGUAAACAAUGCGUGCAUCCGUGGUAUCCCUUGUUUGUCUGUCCUGAAAGGUUACUGAGAGCGGGUCAAUCAUUGCUGGUCACGAACAACAACGCCUUUAGGUUAAAUUCCUCCUGUUUGUGCUCAUCCCACAUAAGUACACCGUUUCCAUUCCACAGCUGUAAAAGUUCUUCAACUAAUGGCCUUAGGUACACAUCAAUGUCGUUGCCGGGUUGCUUAGGGCCUUGGAUGAGAACUGGCAUCAAAAUGAACUUCCGCUUCAUGCACAUCCAAGGAGGAAGGUUAUACAUACAUAGAGUCACGGGCCAGGUGUUGUGAUUGCUGUUCUGCUUCCCGAAAGGAUUAAUGCCAUCCGCGCUUAAAGCAAACCAUACGUUCCUUGGCUCACUUGCAAACUCAUCCCAGUACCUUCUCUCGAUUUUUCUCCACUGCGACCCGUCAGCGGGUGCUCUCAACUUCCCGUCUUUCUUACGGUCCUCACUGUGCCAUCGCAUCAACUUGGCAUGCUCUCUGUUUCUGAACAGACAUUUCAACCGUGGUAUUAUAGGAGCAUACCACAUCACCUUCGCAGGAACCCUCUUCCUGGGGGGCUCGCCGUCAACAUCACCAGGGUCAUCUCGUCUGAUCUUAUACCUUAAUGCACCGCAUACCGGGCAUGCGUUCAGAUCCUUGUACGCACCGUGGAAGAGGAUGCAGUCAUUAGGGCAUGCAUGUAUCUUCUGCACCUCCAAUCCUAGAGGGCAUACGACCUUCUUUGCUGCGUAUGUACUGUCGGGCAAUUCGUUAUCCUUUGGAAGCUUCUUCUUCAAUAUUUUUAGUAGAUUCUCAAAUCCUUUGUCAGGCACAGCAUUCUCUGCCUUCCACUGCAGCAAUUCCAGUACGGUACCGAGCUUUGUGUUGCCAUCUUCGCAAUUGGGGUACAACCCUUUUUUGUGGUCCUCUAACAUGCGAUUGAACUUCAGCUUCUCCUUUUGACUUUCGCAUUGCGUCCUUGCAUCAACAAUGACCCGGCGGAGAUCAUCAUCAUCGGGCACAUCGUCUGGUUCCUCUUGAUCUUCAACAACUUCGCCCAUUGCAGCAUCAUCAUGCACAUCGUCUGGUUCCUCUUGAUGUUCAGUAGCAUCACCGUAUUCAGGGGCACAUAGUUGUCAUCAUACUCUUCUUCUUCGCCCUUUUCCAUCAUAACCCCUACUUCUCCGUGCCUCGUCCAAACAUUAUAGUGUGGCAUGAAACCCUUGUAAAGCAGGUGGGUGUGGAGAAUUUUCCGGUCAGAGUAAGACUUCGUAUUCCCACAUAUAGGGCAUGGACAACACAUAAAACCAUUCUGCUUGGUUGCCUCAGCCACUUUGAGAAAAUCAUGCACGCCCCUAAUGUACUUGGAGGUGUGUCUUGAAUCGUACAUCCAUUGCCGGUUUAUCUGCGUGCAUUAUAUAUAAUUAAGUGUGUCAAAAAUUAUUACAGAACAUCAUGAAUAGAUAAUUAAGUGACCAAAUUAAUAGAAGUUCAUCAUCACAUUAAAACCAAAGUACAUACAUAGUUCUCAUCUAACACCAUAAAGCUCUGCAGAGCAUCUAAAUUAAUUAAACCAUACACUGAAACUAUGUAAAACAUUUCAAUGCGAAAACAAAUGCGAUCAUAAUCGCAACCAAUGUAACAACUGAUCCAACGACAUAAUGAUACCAAGCCUCGGUAUGAAUGGAAUAUUUUCUAAUCUUUCUAAUCUUCAAGCGCAUUGCAUCGAUCUUGAUCUUGUGAUCAUCGACGACAUCCGCAACAUGCAACUCCAAUAUCAUCUUCUCCUCCUCAAUUUUUCUAAUUUUUUCCUUCAACAAAUUGUUUUCUUCUUGAACUAAAUUUAACCUCUCGACAAUAGGGUCGGUUGGGAUCUCCGGUUCAACAACCUCCUAGAUAAAUAAAAUCUAUGUCACGUUGGUCGGCAUAAUUGUCAUAAACAAUAAAUGAACCAAUAGUUAUGAAAAGAUAAUAUAUACCACAUCUGAAUCAUAGAUAGGACGAGGGCCGACGGGGGCGGAUACCAAAACCAUCGCACUAUAUAAGAUGCAAUAAUAAAAGUAAGAAAAUUAUACAAGUAUCUAUAUAAAUAUACAAGUAAUAUUUUUUUCCUUUCAGAAAGAAGAUAAGAACAAGAGGCUCACCACGGUGGUGCCGGCGACGAGAUCGGCACGGGCGAUCGACGGCGGUGAAGAUGGGGACGGGACGUGACGGACCGCUAAACCUAGACAAAUAUUGAGGAAAAUGGAGCUUGGAGGUCGAGCUUGGGGAGGAGAAAGCUUAAGUACUGUGGCUCGGGCAUUCCAUCGAACACCUCGUGUGCAUAGGAGGUGAGCUAGAGCACCACAAAGCUCUUCCCUCACCGGCCACGAUAAAUAGAGCACUGGGAGUUCUCUGCUCGCGGGCGAGGGGUAGAUAUAGGCAACUAAUUGGUCCCGGUUCGUGGCAAGAACCGGGACUAAAGGGAAGCCUUUGGUCCCGGUUCACUCCACCAACCGGGACCAGUGGUGGUGGGCCAGGAGCGAGGCGCAUUGGUCCCGGUUCGUCCCACCAACCAGAACCAAUAGGUCCAGCCGAACCGGGACCAAUGGCCCACGUGGCCCGGCCGGCCCCCGGGGCUCACGAACCGGGACUAAUGGGCUGACCCGGCCUGGACCAUUGCCCCCUUUUCUACUAGUGCAUGUACUAACCUAGGAACAAACAAAUCUGCAGGAUCAAUCAGUUCCUUAUCUUUCGACAUGCACCUACAAAGUAGGAACGAAUCGAUCGCUGGCUCACUGUAUGCAUGUGUACGGUCUGCUGUGCCACGUGAAGCCCAGCCAUCCAUCCCAUAAAUUAUUUUUGAUCACCGAAAACAUGUUGGGCCAAAGCCUACCUGCGAGGGGCCCCUCGAUUUUGGGGGCCCGGGGUGGCCGCCCCCCCGCCCCCCCUCAGGGCCGGCCCUGGCGUGUGUGUGUGUGUGUGUGAUAGGCCACCCCAUAGAGGGUUGUGCCACUUCCUGAAAAUCUACGUUUUACAUGGUAUCCAGUCUAACCUAGAUCCUCUACUCCAUCCGCCGCCACCGCACCGCCAAAAGCCAAAACCCUAGGGCUGCUGCCGUCGGCGCCAUGACCGCUUCUGCUUCGGGCGCUGCCAGCUCCGGGUCAAUCCAGGCGUAGCUUGCGCCUCCUAAACCUUCCACCUCGCCCCCUGGCUCCGUCGGUGCCUCAGUUCUUCGACACCACCGCCGUCGGCUCCAUGUUUUCAGUGCCGAUCCCGCUCUCACCGCCUGCGACGACCUCAGCACCAGUCUCGCCGCCGCCGCCCGCGAUGGCCCCUUCUGGAUCCUCCUCGACACUCGUCGUCAUGUCGGCGACCUCGGGGUAGGCGCUGCCUGCUGAGCCACCCGCGGCCUCGCUCAUGGCACCACCCGCAGACGUGCUCCCGAUCGUUCCUGCGCCGCCACCCACGGCAUCGGUCGCGGUUGUGGUUCCUGCCGCGGCUCCGCUGACCGCCGCCCAUGCUGCUGGCGUCAUCACACCUGCCAGUCUGUUCCACUUUGACAACUUGAUCGUCAUCUGACUCACGCCGGACAACUACCUGUUCUGGCGCGCCAAGGUCCUACCUCUACUCCGCAGCCGAUCUCUCCUAGGGUUUAUGGAUGGUUCGCUACGUGUCCUCUGCAAGUCAUCCCUACCGUACACGGCCCGACCAUUAACACGGAACACCAUAUGUGGGUGCAGCAGGACCAAGCGAUCCUCUCUGCUAUUUAGGGCUCCCUCAGCGACGGGGUCGCCGGUCUCUGUCUCUUCGCGCCACCUCCAUGGACGCCUAGACGACCCUGGAGCAUGCCUUUGGCAAGGUCUCCACCCCCCGCUCCAUGGCCCUUCGCAGCGAGCUCGUCGACAUUAAGAAGCUAGAGUCCUCCGCCACGACCUACUGCAACAAGAUGAAGGAGCUAGCGGACACACUCACCUCUAUCGGUUGACCGCUCAGCGACCAGGAGUUUGUUGGCUUUGUCAUCAAAGGUCUCGACACCGACUACGACAAGCUCGCCGAGGCUGUUCACAACACCAAGCCAAAGAUGCCCCAGCACAAGCUCUAUCAUGACUUCUCUUCACCAAGCAGCGCGUCGAGGCUCGUCGCUCCUCCGCCACCAUCACCUCACAGCCGGCACGCCUUCUGGUCUUCUGGCGGCCAACGUCCCCCUGCGCCGUCAUCUGGUAGCUCGCCCCGCCCCCUGCAUCGACCCUGGGUGGGGGCCCUAACACUCAGGUGGUAUGCCAGCUAUGUGGUCGUGAACGCCAUGUCGCCUCCGAGUGUCACCACCGCUUUCAGAGGAGCUUCCUUGGCAUCGGCAACAACGGCAAGGGCAACGAGAGCCAAUUUGCGAUGGCAGACUUUGGUCCCCCUAUCGCCGCCCCGGCUGCCCACAUCGUUGUCGCCCCGGCUGCCCACAUCGCCGCCAAUGGCAAGGACCCGCACAUCGACUAGGGGUACACGCCGUCCUAUCCUGUUGAUCCAGCCUGGUACAUGGACAGCGGCGCCACAGAUCACAUGACGGACAAGCUCAACAAACUCUCCAACUACCAGCCCUACUACGGGCACGAUCAGGUUCCCACCGCCAAUGGUGUAGGUAUGCCCAUCUCUCACAUUGGCCAAGCAUCUCUUUUAACUAGUCAUCCAUCUGGGAAGCUCCAUCUUCGCCAGGUUCUAUGGGUUCCCUCGUUGACUCGUAAUAUUUUAUCUGUUUCUAACCCACCCUUCAUAAUCAUGUCCUAUGUGAAUUUCACCCUUUUAAUCUUUUUGUUAAGGACCGAGCAACCCGGGAUGUUCUGCUUAGUGGCCAUUUGAGCCAAGGCUUGUACCGUUUGGAGGAUCCAUCCGCCCCGUGCGUCUUCAGUGGUGUUCGUGUGUCACCUUCCCAGUGGCACUCUCGCUUUGGUCAUCCCGCCACACCCAUUGUUCACCACAUACUCCACCGCCAUGAGCUGCCAUUAGAGUCUAGCAAAAAAGAGAUGUUCGUGUGUGAUGCUUGUCAACAAGGCAAAACUCAUCAGCUACCUUUUGUUUCAUCUACUAGAUAAGUAAAGAGUCCUCUUGAAAUUGUGUUUUCUGAUGUGUGGGGUCCAACACAAACAUUUUGUUAGUGGUCACAACUACUAUGUCAGUUUUGUUGACGCCUAUAGUUGUUUCACAUGGCUUUAUCUUCUUAAGCGCAAAUCUGAUGGGUUUGAUAUAUUCAUUCAGUUUCAAUUGCAUGUUGAAUGUCUACUCAAGCAUAAAAUUAUCCAUGUCCAGUCAGAUUUGGGGGGGGGGGGAUAUCGCAACCUCAACACUUUCUUUGAUAAGCUUGGGAUCUCCCAUCGCUUGUCAUGCCCACAUACACAUCAGCAGAAUGGCGCUAUUGAGCACAAACAUCGCAAUAUAGUUGAAACUGGCCUCACACUUCUUCCUCAUGCUUUUGUCGCUUUUCGCUUUUGGAGUGAUGCUUUUGCCACCGUGUGUUUUCUCAUUAACAGAUUACCUACGCAUGUUCUUAAUAUGAAAACUCCUAUUGAGCUUCUCUUGGAUGAAACUCCUGAAUACACCUUUUUCAAGGUAUUUGGGUGUGCUUGCUGGCCUCAUCUUCGUCCUUAUAAUGAUCGCAAACUUGAGUUUCACUCCAAAAAGUGUAUGUUCUUGGUGUAUAGUUCUCUCCAUAAAGGCUACAAGUGUCUCCAUGUCCCAACUAAUUGAGUCUACAUAUCUCGGGAUGUUGUUUUUGAUGAGAAUGUCUUCCCUUUUAAUGCCAUGCCUCAGUCUUCCAACACAUCAUGAUCUAUGCAUUCAUCCCCUCUCAUGCCUGGCGAAUUUGAAGAUGUUGCAUAUUGGCCUAUGUUGUUACCUAAUCAUGGUGCAGGAACUGGACGUGGAGCUCGCCUGGAACUUCUCCCUGACGGACCUACUACGCCGCCCGUGGCGCACGUCGAUCGGCCGGUGAAUGUGCAUGCACCGCCUCCCGCCCUCGACCCUGCCUCAGCCCCCCCGUCUACCACUAGGGUGGAGCCUGCGUCGGCUACUAUGGCCAGGUCAGAGCCCGUGACGAAGCGGCCUACAUCGCUGCUUCCUCACCUGGCAUCCCCUCCAUCGUCACCCCCGCCAUUUGCGUGGGCGUCGCUGCCGCCCACUUCGCCUGGGCUAGCAGUGACCCACACACCGCCUAGGCCUAUGUCGCCCAGUCUGCCGUCUCCCAGCCCGUUGUCACCCGGUCCCUCUUCGCCAGACUUUGCUGGACCGGCCUCGCCUGCUCCGGACGCCUCGCCUGCUCCGGUGGUCGUUGCUCUGCACACGCGCAGUCGUAGCAGCAUCGUUCGUCCCAAGGAGCGCACCGAUGGCACGGUCACAUACCUUGUUGCUUGUCUGGCUCAUGCUGUGGAUGAUUCAACCGCCGAACCACGCAGUUAUCAAGCCGCCAUGAGUAUCCCACACUGGAGGGCUGCUAUGGAACAAGAAUAUCAUGCUCUUAUGCAGAAUAAGACCUAGGCACUUGUUCCACCUCCAUCUCGUGUCAACAUCAUCGAUUCGGAGUGGGUUUUCAAGGUGAAGAAACAUGCAAAUGGUUCCAUUGAGCACUACAAAGCGUCUUGUGGCUAAGGGCUUUAAAUAGCGUCAAGAAUUGGACUACGAGGAUAGAUUCAGCCCCGUUGUCAAGCCUACCACUAUUCGACUUCUUCUGUCUCUGGCAGUUUCUCGUGGAUGGUAUCUCCGCCAGCUUGACGUGCAGAACGCCUUUCUACAUGGACUGCUUUAAGAGGAGGUUUACAUGAGGCAGCCAUCUGGAUUUGUUGAUCACACUCAGCCUUAUCACCUCUGUCAUCUGACGAAGGCUCUCUAUGGAAUGAAACAGGCGCCUCGUUCAUGGCAUGCUCUCCUGGCUUCAACUUUACACACUCAUGGAUUCAUUCCUUCGACGGCUGAUACUUCACUGUUCUUGUUUCAGCGACCGAGUGUGACCAUGUACCUCCUUGUGUAUGUGGAUGAUAUUGUCCCUGUUAGCUCCUCUCCGAUGGCUGCUGAUGCUCUUGUGACUAUGCUUGGUCAUGAUUUUGCAGUUAAAGAUUUGGGACAGCUUCAUUCUUCCUGGGUAUUGAAGUCGCUCAUAAUUUAACUGCUAUGGUACUCUUCUAUCUUAUGAGGAUGCUACCGAGUACAAGAGUAUUGUUGGUGGCCUGCAGUAUCUGACGUUCACCCGUCCUGAUCUCUCCUUUGCGGUUAACUGGGUGUGGUAGUAUCUUCAUGCACCUACUGACGUGCACUGGUCUGCUGUGGAGUGCAUAUUGCGCUAUGUGCGUCUCACUGUCUCCUUUGUCUUCAUCUGCGCCCCAGUUUCUCUGGAGUUCUUUCUGCAUUCUCAGAUGCGGACUGGGCUGGGUGUCCAGAUGACAGGCGAUCUAGGGGGGACAUACAGCAUUCUUGGGGCCUAAUCUGAUCGCCUGGAGUGCAUGCAAGCAAGCCACUGUUUCCCGCAGCAGCACAGAGGCUGAGUACAAGUCAGUUGCCAAUGCGACUGCUGAACUUAUAUGGAUUGAGUCCCUACUUCGAGAGCUAGGAGUUGCUCAGCCAUACUCGUCGGUCCUCUGGUGUGACAACAUCGAUGCUACGUUUCUUUCAUCAAACCCGGUGUUCCAUGCACGGACUAAACACAUUGUGAUUGACUAUCAUUUUGUGAGGGAAUGUGUCGCACAGAAGCUACUACAAGUCAGGUUUAUCUCUUCAAAAGAUCAACUUGAAGACAUCUUCACCAAGCCUCUACCUUCUCCCAUGUUUGAGGUCUGUAGGCGUAAUCUCAACCUCCUAGAUGCUUCAAGAGCGAGUUGAGAUUGAGGGAGGAUGUUAGACUUCGUAUUGUAGCCUUAUUGUGUAAUACAUAACAUAUUGGUAUAGGAAUUGUGUGACACCAUUAUAUAUAUAUAUGUGAUAGGCCACCCGUAGAAGGUUGAGCCAGUUCCCUAAAAACCUUUGUUUUACAUAGUUCGUGCUCAAAGGAAAAGGUUGCCGUUCGUGCGCUAGAUAACUUCCGAGUCCUCCUUUGAGCCAGACAGACGUGUGCAGAGAGAGAGAGAGAGAGAGAGGUGCGGUGAGCUGGGGCAAGGGCAUUUGCUCCAACAUUAUAUACAUGUAACUCGAACAAUCGACACACACGCAACGCAUCUUCGUCGAACAAAGAAACAAUCAAGAAUUACACACCCCCACCCCGGAUCAACCGAGCGUCUUGCAGUAAUGGAGUUCACUGACGCCAGACGAUGGCCUCGAAGCAGUCAAUCCCGUAGAACUCCGGCGCGAACCGCGGCUGCCGCGUCUCCUCCCGCGGAGGCGGAAGCUGCGACUG